AUAAAUGCUUCAUUUCAUAGUAUAAAAAUAGACGAAUCCCAAAACAACACUAAGAUAAUAGAAAAAAUAAGUCACUACUGGCACUUGGCCUUAUUACAUUCGAAAAAUGAGUGAAUCUAAUCUAUUUGGUCUCGGAAGGACCUUCUUCAGGCAAAAUGCUUUUGUCGAUCAAAUCCUCCAGUUCGCAUAGGUUCGUCAGUAAGAAUGCCUUUGCCAAAUGUCCUCCUUCGUUUUCCUCAGUAUUCUGGCAGUCAGCGACUCUCUUCCUCAUUUUUCCUUCAAAUUCCAAUAGACUGUAUUCCAGAUAUUCCAGCUUUUCACUAGAUUUGGCGGCCAUCUCUUUCCAUUCAUUGAUUUGGUCACUUGAUGGAAGAUUCCUCCACCAGUCUAGCAAGAGUGAGGGUGUGCUAACCAUACCGAAGUUGGGGACCUUGUUCCUCAUUUUCUGCAAAAGAAAAAGGUUAGGCCCUUCUCCCCCACCAGACUCGACUAUUUAUACAUUCAUGAUCAGCAUAUCGGCAUUUAAUUCUCCAAAUUAAUGCAUAGUAUGUGGUUGUGUUCAUUAGGAUUAUGGAAAGCCGGAUGGACUUUUGCAUAAGGCUUACCUUAAAGGAUUAUUAUGUAGACAACAUAUUGAUCCGGCUAGGUUUGACCAUGAUGCAUGCAUAAUUUUAACCAGAGUAAGGUUACUAUGGGGAUCUAGACUGGUACCCUCAAGCGGACAACUUGAGGGGGAAAGGCACGAAACCGUCGACUGCACCGCUGAUCGACUAGUUUCACCGCAAAUAAGCCUUUCCGAAUUCAAGGGUAAUAAAUAGGAAGAGUGCAACCACUCAUUAAGCGUUGCUAUAAGAUUUGAUACGCACAAGUUAAAUAUGAUGUUGAGCAUGAUAUAUGCAGCAAUAAAUAGCACGUAGUCAAGUAUUUUCAUGUAGGAAAAAUAAAUACAGUAUUUAAAUAAUUAAAAGACAGUUACAGAAAAAGAAAACAAAGAGACAAGUCAGUUUCAUGAAUAAAAGAAACAUAAGUGCUUAAAAUAGGCAGUUAAUUUCAAAUAAGGGGAAAGGGUUUAGGAUAGAUUAUGCUUGGACUAAUUCAUAAAAAAGUUCGUUAUGGUAAGAGCCUAAGAUAUCCCCAGCAGAGUCGCCAUGCUGUCACACCCCCUUUUUUCCUCCGCGGAGAAAGUCCGGGUUUCGACGUUCAUGGGGGUAAUAACUCAUUUUCUUUUGGGAUUUGGGUAUUUGAAGAGUCGUCACCUAAUGGAUUAUGGUGCGUUAGGGCACCCAAAGCAAUUAACUCUUGGAUUGGUUUGAAUUACUAGAGAUUUAGGGUAAGGGCUCGAAAUAACAUGGAAGGGAAAGAGCAGGUUUUUUGGACAACGGCCAAAAUUAAGGGGACCUGGGUUGGGUAAAUGUAUUUGGGGCAUGGGUCGGGUAAUUUAGUUAGAAAUUGGGGUGGGUGUUGGGAUUGGAUUGGGUUGAAUUUAGGCUGAAAUUAAAAAAUAUUUGGCCAAGUUUUAAAUAGCCAAUUUCAGUACUAUACAAUUUUUAUAAAAAUAAUAAAAUUAUUUAAAAAAAAUAUUUCAUGUGGGAGGGUCUGUAGGAAAAUAUGGGACUUGGGCAUAUGCCCAGAAUUGAAUUCCAAGGUCCCAAGCUCGAGAAAUGAAUUUUUGAAGAAAAUUGUUUACUUGAAAUUAUAAGAGUUUUUGAAAAUUUAAAUGUGUUUGAAUUUAAUGGUAUCGGGACCGUAUUUUAGUUUCGGAACCCGGUACAGGUUUUAUACGGUAUUUAAGUUGUGCCUGUAAAAUUUGGUAAGAAACGGACUUCAUAUGACGUGAAUCUAACCCUCGGUUGUCAAAAUUUGAACUUAAGAGUUCUUGAGAUUUUUCUUUGAAUUUUGAUGCUAAACUUGAAGUUCUAGGUGUUAUUUUGGUGAUUUGAUCGCACGAGUAAGUCCGUAUGAUGUUUUUAGGGUUGUGUGCAUGUUUGGUUUGGAGUCCUGAGGGCUCAGUUGAGUUCCGGAUAGGCCACGAGAUGUUUUUACAAUUAGAAAAGUUGCAGGUUUUGCUCCUUUAAUGCACAGAGAUUUUGUGCUUCGCGGUCGCGAAGCUAUUCUCGCGAUCGCGAAAGGGAACUGGGUAGGGGGUGAAAUUUGUUUUAUGCGAACGCAAAGACAGGGACGCGAACGCGGAGCACUGGGGGGCUGCACUACCCGAACGUGACCCAUGUCCCACGAACGCGUAUAGUAAAUUGGAGGUGGACUGGGAAGUUGUCAUUUCUUUUACGCGAACGCGAACGCGUACGCUGGUCUACGAAUGAGAAGGUCAGGGGGCUUGCCCUUCACAAACACGUAGGAGAACUCACGAUCACGUAAGUCCUCAACGGGCAGCUCUUCGCGAAUGCGGCAGGCCCAUCGCGAACGCGAUGAAGGCCUACCCGGUCUUUUAAAACAGUAGCAAAAACGGGCAGAACCCAUUUUUAUGAAAUUUUAGAACUACCAAGACCUAGAGGCGAUUUUCUUCACAUAAAUUCAUCCCCAAAGUGUUGGUAAUCAAUUCUAAACUCUAAUCUUUCAAUUACCCAACGUUUUUCAUCUUUUUUUAUUAAAAAGUCAAGAAUUUUCAUAGUAUAAAUUAGAAUUUAGACCUCAUUUUUGGGUCGGAUUUUGAAACUAAUUGCAUAUUCGGGCUCAUGGGUGAUCGAAUUUUGGUCUGAACCUUGAGUUUUGACCAAGCGGGCCCGCGGUCUCACUUUUGAUGAAAAUGAUAGAAAACCUAUAAUUAAGCAUUGGAUAUGAAUUCUUUAGAAUUUAUUGAUAUUGUUAAAUUAAAGGAAACGCGGUGUUUGAGGCUUGAAUUGGCCGUGGAAGUUCGAGAUAAGUGUUUGGCCUAACCUUAGCUUGAGGGAAUAGGUAUUGUUCUUUAUUUGCUAUGUGUUAGUGUAUUGUACGCCGUAUAGGUAUGGUCACGAGUAUCUAUACGUUAGUGUCAAGCAUGCCCGUGAGUCUUAAAUUGUGAUCGUUGUGUUUUCUUAAUAAGUACUACAAUUGCAUAAAUUAUUGAUUAUCCAUGUUGAGCAAGUCGUAUGAUUAUCUUCUUGGCAUUGGUUUAUUAUUGAGCAUUGGCUCUAGUUGAGGUUCAUUUGUGAAGUUAAUUGUUGGUAUAAGUUUGAUUAUAGCUGAUUCCCUUGCCGGGACGUAUUUAUUUCUUACUGGUGAUUCCCCUGCCGGGAUAUAGUUAUUUCUUAUUGUUGAUUCCCUUGCCGGGAUGUAUAUAUUCUUGUUGUUGAUUCCUUUGUCGGGAUGUGUUUAUUCUUGUUGUUGAUUCCCUUGCCGGGAUGUUGUUGUUGCUAUUGUUUGGGUGAGGAAAGAGAGAUAAAGCACGAAGGAUGAUGCCGUGCAUAUUCAUAUUUAUGCAUGCGGUGAGGAAAGAGUGAUAAAUCACGAAGAGUGAUGCCGUGUACAUUUUCAUUGAUAUUGAUGCAUAUGGUGAGGAAGAGAGAUAAAGCACGAAGGGUGAUGCCAUGCACAUUUCUAAUAUUUACAUGGUGAGGAAGAGAGAUUUUAGCACGAAGGGUGAUGUCGUGCACAUUUUUAUUACUUGAUUGCAUUGGUGAGGAUUGAGAGUAAAAGCACGAAGGGUGAUGUCGUGCACUUAUUGCCUGUUUGUUGUGAUUUCUUGUUGCUUUAGGUUCAAUUACCUUAAUUAUCUUAUUCCACUAUUACUGUGAUUCUUUACGUUGGUAUUUCCCCCAUAGCAUGUUACCCCUCCCCUGUUACUCUUGAAUUAUUUCUAUUACUGUUAUUCUGCUAGUUACUGUUUAUCUGCAUGUUAUUUGUUUGUUGAGUCCUAGCCUCGUCACUACUUCGUCGGGGUUAGGCUCGACACUUACUCGGUACAUGGGGUCGGUUGUAUUGAUACUACACUCUGCACUCUUUUGUGCAGAUCCCGGUACUGGAGCAUACAUACCUUAGCUAGGAGUUGCUGCCUUCAGUCCAUCAUGAGACCCGAGGUAGUCCUGCAGGCGUCCGCAGGCCUUAGUGUCCCCUUCUUAUUUAGUUUCUUUUUGUUCUUUUCUAUUUCAGAGAUAGACAUGUACUUUCUUGUUCAGACCCUAUUUGUAGUUUUUCUUAAAUAGUCCGUGAGAUUAUGACACUAGUUCUGGGUGGUUUAUGUUUAUGGAUUCGCAUUGGUAUUAGCUUUAACGUUAAAUUUCUUUCUUCCGCAUUAUUUUUUCCGCUGCUUAUAAUAUGUUGGCUUGAAAUUGUCAAGAGGUUAAAAAUAAAAAGGGUAAAUUAAUUAGAAUAGUUGGCUUGCCUAGCUUUCACUAGUAGGCGUCAUCACGACUCCCGAGAAUGGGAAAUCCGGGUCGUGACAAGUUGGUAUCAGAGCUCUAGGUUGCUUUGGUCUCAAAAUUCACGGACAAGCUUGGUAGAGUCUGAGGGAUCAGUCUGUGCUUAUCCCUAAAGGCUACAGAGUUAGGAACAAUUUCACUUCUAUUCUUCUCUAUCAUGUGAUUUGGUUUCUCAAUGCUAAUUGAACUUCUACUCUGUUCUUUCGCAGAUGGCGAGAACACAUGCUUCUUUAUUUGCUGACCAACAGCCCAAGCCCCCAGCAGCAGCUCCCACGAGGGGCAGAGGAUGAGGACGAGGCCGUGCUAGGGGCCGAGGCAGGGGCAGAGCUCAGCCUAGAGCAGCAGCACCAGCUGCGGAGCCUCAGGUUGAGUUUGAUGAUGAGGUUCUGGCCCAGAUAGUUCCGGUGAGCCCAGCUCAUGUCCCAGAGGGGUUCAUUGCUACCCAAGUACUCCAGGAUGCUCUGGUCUAUCUAGUGGAUCUUAUGGAGAGUGUCACUCAAACAAGCUUACUUCAUGUAGCACCAGCCGUCUCUCAAGCUGGGGGAGGAACACAGACUCCCGCUACCCGAACUCCAGAGCAGAUGGCUCCCCAGUUUUAGACUCCAGUAGCUCAACCAGUUGGAGCAGUUCAGCUGGGUGUAGUAGCUCAGACCGGUGAUGGAGCAGCUAUGUCUGCUGAUGUUUUCUGGAGGUUGGACAGGUUCACCAAGCUAUUUACUACUACUUAUGGUGGUACAUCUUCAGAGGAUCCCCAAGAUUACUUAGAUAGUUUUCAUGAGGUUCUUCGGAACAUGGGGAUAGUGGAGACCAAUGGGGUCGACUUUGCUGCUUUCCAUCUGUCAGGUUCUGCUAAGAAAUGGUGGAGAGAUUAUUGUUUGGCCAGAACAAUUAGAUCACCAGCUCUCACUUGGGACCAGUUCUCGCAGUUAUUUCUUGAGAAGUUUCUUCCCGCCACUCAGAGAGAGGAGUACCGUAGGCAGUUCGAGCGUCUCUAGUAGGGUUCUAUGACUGUCACCUAGUACGAGGCGAGGUUUUUCGAUUUCGCUCAUCAUGCUCUUCUGAUACUCCCCACCGAGAGAGAGAGGAUGAGGAGGUUUAUUGAGGGACUCGCUCAGCCUAUUAGACUGCAGAUGGAUAAGGAGACAUGUAACGAGAUUUCUUUCCAAGAUGCAGCCAAUGUGACCAGGAGGGUUGAGAUGGUUUGGCUUAAGGGAGCGGUCAGGGGUCCGAUAAGAGGCCUCGACAUUCUAGCAGAUUCAGUGGUGCCUCGUCUGGAGGCAGGGAUUCUUUUGGUAGAAUCCGUCCUCCUAGGCCAUUUCAAUCAGAACUUCAGAUUUCUCACGGUGCUCCAGGAGGCUGUGGUUCUCACAUGUAAUAUUCUGAUCAGUUGCCCUACAGUACACCACCAGCUCCUAUCAGUGCACCUCCGCUUCAGAGUUUUCAAGGUGGUUAUCCAGGCUGUCAGGGUCAGUUUCAAGGUUAGCAGUCUCAGCAGCCCAAGUCUUGCUAUACUUGUGGUGAUACGAGGCACAUUGCUAGGUUUUGCCCUCGAGCCUCGAGCAGUUCUCAGCACCAGGGUUCUCGUGCUAUGGUUCUAGCACCGGGUGUUCCACUUCCCGCUCAACCAGCAAGAGGUAGUAGUAGAGGUGUUAGAGGUGGAGGUCAGGCCGCUAGAGGUAGAGGCUAGGCAGCUAGAGGUGGAGACCAGCUAGUAGGAGGUCAUCCUAGGGAUGCAGUUCAGAGUGGUGGGGCCCAGCAUCGAUGUUAUGCUAUGCCAGACAGACCUGAGGCUGAGGCCUCCGAUCCAGUUAUCACAGGUACGGUUUAAAUGUGCAGUAGAGAUGCCUUAAUUCUAUUUGAUCCAGGGUCCACAUAUUCUUAUGUAUCAUCUUAUUUUGCCCCUUAUCUGGUUGUGCUUCGUGAUUCUUUGAGUGCUCAUGUAUAUGUGUCUACACCGGUGGGUGAUUCUAUUAUGGUAGAUCAUGUUUAUCGUGCUUGCGUGGUUGUUAUUGGGGGUCUUGAGACCCAAGUAGAUCUCUUACUUCUCAAUAUGGUGGAUUUCGAUGUCAUUCUGAGAAUGGACUGGUUAUCCCCUUAUCAUGCUAUAUUGGAUUGUCAUUCCAAGACUGUGACCUUAGCAUUGCCGGGGUUGCCUCGUUUGGAGUGGAGAAGGACUCUUGGUCAUUCUGCCAGUAGGGUUAUCUCGUAUAUGAAGGCUCGACAUAUGGUUGAUAAGGGAUGUUUGACCUAUUUGGAGUAUGUUCGUGAUUCCAGUAUUGAGGUUCCUUCUAUAGAUUUUGUGCCCGUUGUUCGUGAGUUUCCAGAAGUAUUUUCUUUAGAUCUGCCGGGGAUGCCACUUGACAGGGACAUUGACUUUUGCAUUGAUUUGGCUCCGAGCACUCAACCCAUUUCUAUUCCACCAUAUCGUAUGGCCCCGCCAGAGUUGAAAGAAUUGAAAGAGCAGUUGUAGGACUUGAUGGAUAAAGGCUUUAUUAGACCGAGUGUCUCGCCUUGGGGUGCACCGGUGUUGUUUGUCAAGAAGAAGGAUGGGCCGAUGAGGAUGUGUAUAGAUUAUCGGCAGUUGAACAAAGUCACCAUCAAGAACAAGUAUCCAUUGCCGAGGAUUGAUGAUUUGUUUGAUCAACUUCAGGGUGCCAAGGUAUUUUCGAAGUGAGGAUUAGGGCAUUCGAUGUCCCUAAGAUAGCUUUUUGCACUUGGUACGGGCAUUAUGAGUUCUUACUGAUUUCAUUCGGGUUAACAAAUGCCCUAACAUCUUUUAUGAAUUUUAUGAACCGAGUGUUCAAGCCUUAUUUGGAUUCCUUCGUGAAUGUCUUCAUUGAUGAUAUUUUGAUAUAUUCCCACAGCUGAGAAAAGCACGAGCAGCAUCUUCGAGUCAUUCUUCAGACUUUAAGGGAUAGUCAGUUGUAUGCUAAGUUUUCAAAAUGUGAGUUUUGGGUGAGUUCGGUUGCAUUCUUGGGUCAUGUUGUAUCAGCAGAGGGUAUUCAGGUGGAUCCUAAGAAGAUUGCAGCAGUCAAGGACUGGCCUAGACCAACAUCAGCUACAGAGAUCUGGAGUUUCUUAGGUUUGGCAGGCUAUUACCGUAGGUUUGUGGAUGGGUUCUCAUCUAUUGCAGCCCCUAUGACCAGGUUGACCUAGAAAGGUGCCCAGAUCAGGUGGUUGGAUGAGUGUGAGGCGAGCUUCCAGAAGGUCAAGACAGCUUUGACUACGGUGCCAAUGUUGGUAUUGCCCACAGGCUCAGUGCCAUAUACAGUGUAUUAUGAUGCAUCACAUAUUGGAUUUGGUGCGGUGUUGAUGCAGAAUGUCAAGGUUAUCGCAUAUGCUUCACGGCAGUUAAAUAUUCACGAGAAAAAUUAUCCAAUUCAUGAUUUGGAGCUAGCAGCCAUUGUUCACGUGCUGAAGAUUGGGAGGCAUUAUUUAUAUGGCGUGUCAUGUGAGGUGUUCACGGAUCAUAAGAGUUUGCAAUACUUGUUCAAGUAGAAGGAGCUAAAUUUGAGGCAGAGAAGGUGGAUGGAGCUAUUGUAUCAUCAUCUUAUAUCAUCCGGGAAAGGCUAAUGUUGUGGCCGAUGCAUUGAGUAGGAAUUCAGCCAAUAUGGGCAGCCUUGUGUAUAUUCCGGUCGGGGAGAGACCGUUUGUUUUGAAUGUUCAGGCUUUAGCUAAUGAGUUCAUGAGGUUGGAUGUUUCUGAGCCUAGCCGUGUUCUAGCUUGCACAGUCGCUCGUUCUUAAUUAUUUGAGCGUAUCCGAGAUCGGCAGUAUGAUGAUCCUCAUUUGCUUGUCCUUAGAGACACAGUGCGGCACGGAGAUGCCAAGCAUGUUAUAGUGGGAUAUGAUGGAGUUCUGAGGAUGCAUGAUCAUAUUUGUGUGCUUAAUGUGGAUGGACUUCGUGAGUUGAUUCUAUAGGAGGCCCAUAGUUCUCGGUAUUCUAUUCAUCCGGGCGCCGCUAAGAUGUAUCAGGAUUUUCGGCAGCAUUAUUGGUGGAGGAGGAUAAAGAAGGACAUUGUUGCCUAUGUAGCUCAGUGUUUGAAUUGUCAGCAGGUAAAGUACGAGCAUCAGAGACCUGGUGGUUUGUUUCAAAAGAUUGAUAUUCCUGAGUGGAAGUGGGAGCGGAUCAUUAUGGACUUCAUUGUUGGACUCCUAUGGACUCAGAGGAAGUUCGAUACAGUAUGGGUUAUUGUUGAUAUGCUGACCAAGUCAGCGCAUUUCAUUCCUAUGGCAGUUUCCUAUUCCUCGGAGCGGUUGGCUGAGAUCUAUAUCCGGGAGAUUGUUCGUCUUCAUGGCGUGCCCGUGUCUAUCAUUUCUGAUCGGGGUACGCAGUUUACCUUGCAUUUUUAGAGGGUAGUACAGGGUGAGUUGGGUACGCGGGUUGAGUUGAGCAUAACAUUUCAUCCUCAUUUGGACGGACAGACCGAGCGUACUAUUCAGAUUUUGGAAGAUAUGCUCCGAGCAUGUGUUAUUGACUUUGGAGGUUCUUGGGAUCAGUUCUUGCCAUUAGCAGAGUUUGACUACAAAAACAACUACCAGUCGAGCAUUCAGAUGGCUCCCUAUGAGGCAUUAUAUGGUAGGCGGUGUCAGUCAUCGGUUGGGUGGUUUGAGCCGUGAGAGGCUCGGUUGUUGGGUACAAAUUUAGUUCAGGAUGCCUUGGAUAAAGUGAAGAUCAUUCAGGAUAGGCUUUGUACAACUCAGUCCAGGCAGAAGAGUUAUGCCGACCGCAAGGUUCGUGAUAUAACAUUCAUGGUCGGAGAGCGAGUGUUGCUUCGGGUGUCGCCCAUGAAGGGUGUGAUGAGAUUUGGGAAGAAAAGCAAGCUAAGCCCUUGGUUCAUUGGUCCUUUUGAGAUUCUCGAUCGAGUGGGAGAGGUGGAUUACAUACUUGCAUUGCCGCCGAGUUUAUCAGUUGUGCACCCAGUAUUUCAUGUGUCUGUGCUUCGGAAGUAUCAUGGUNNNNNNNNNNNNNNNNNNNNNNNNNGUUCCAUUCAGUUCAUGUUUAGUGGAGAGUUCAGCCUGCCGAGGCAGCAACCUGGGAGUCUGAGUCCGAUAUGCAGAGCCGAUAUCCCCAUCAUUUUCCUUACUCAGGUACUUCUUUUCUAUGUCCGUUCAAGGACGAACGGUUGUUUUAGGGGUGGAGGAUGUGACAACCAAAAAGGUCAUCACUUAAUUUACAAGUCAAUUUUGUGUUUCAAGGCCUUAAAAACCUCCUUUUAUCUCAUCUUGAUUUACGUGCACGGUUCAGGUGUAUAUCCGGAACGCUUUUAUGUGGAAAGUUGAUAAAAAUGCUAAUUUUGCCUUCAAAAUUAAAUUUAAGUUGACUUCGGUCAACAUUUUGGGUAACAGACGCAAACCCGUGAUUUGACGGUUCCAGAGGGUCCGUAGGAAAAUAUGGGACUUGGGCGUAUGCCUGAAAUUGAAUUCCGAUGUCCUAAACCCGAGAAAUGAAUUUUUGAAGAAAAUUGUUUAACUGAAAUUAUAAAUAUUUUUGGAAAUUUAAAUGUGUUUGAAUUUAAUGGUAUCGGACCUGUAUUUUGGUUCCGGAGCCCGAUACAGGUCUUAUACAGUAUUUAAGUUAUGCCUGUAAAAUUUGGUAAGAAACGGACUUCAUAUGACGUGAAUCUGACCCUCGGUUGUAAAAAUUUAAACUUAAGAGUUCUUGAGAUCGCGAAAGGGAACUGGGCAGGGGGUGGAAUUUGUUCUAUGCGAACGCGGAGCACUGGGGGGGGGGGGCUGCUCUACGCGAACGCGACCCAUGUCCCGCGAACGCGUAUAUUAAAUUGGAGGUGGGCUGGGAAGUUGUCAUUACUUCUACGCGAACGCGUACGCCGAUCCACGAACGUGAAGGUCAGGGGGCUUACCCUUCGCGAACACGUAGGAGAACUCCCGAUCGUGUAAGUCCUCAACGGGAAGCUCUUCGCGAAUGCGGCAGGCCCAUCGCGAAUGCAAUAAAGGCCUACCCAGUCUUUUAAAACAGUAACAAAAAUGGGCAGAACCCAUUUUUAUCAUAUUUUCGAACUUCCAAGACCUAGAGGCGAUUUUCUUCCCACAAAUUCAUCCCCAAAGUGUUGGUAAUCAAUUCUAAACUCUACUCUUUCAAUUACCCAACCUUUUUCUCACUUUUUAAUCAAAAAUCAAGAAUUUUCAUGGUAGACAUUGGGAAUUUGGGUAGAGUUAAGGCUUUUUGAAUAAUUGGAAUUUAGACCUUGUUUUAGGUUUGGAUUUCGAAACUAAUUACAUAUUCGGGCUCGUCGGUGAAUGAGUGGUCGGGUUUUGGUCUGAACCUUGACUUUUGACCAAGCGAGCCCGGGAUCGAUUUUUUAUUUUUGGGGAAAAUGAUAGAAAAUCUAUAAUUAAGCAUUGGGUAUGAAUUCUUUAGCAUUUAUUGAUAUUGUUAAGUUAAUUUGGGCUAGAUACAAGUAAAUUGGAGGCAAAUUCUAAAGGAAAACCGGUGUUUGAGGCUUGAGUUGGCCGUGGAAGUUCGAGGUAAGUGUUUGGUAUAACCUUAGCUUGAGAGAAUAGGUAUUGUGCUUUAUUUGCUAUGUGCUAGUGUAGUGUACGGCGUAUAGGUGUGGUCACGAGUAUCUAUACGUAGGUGUCAAGCAUGCCCGUGAGUCUUAAAUUGUGAUCGUUGUAUUUUCUUAAUAAGUACUACAAUUGCCUAAAUUGUUGAUUAUCCAUGUUGAGCAAGACGUAUGAUUAUCUUCUUGGUAUUGGUUUAUUAUUAAGCAUUGGCUCUAGUUGAGGUUCAUUUGUGAAGUUAAUUGUUGGUACAAGAUUGGUUAUAGAUGAUUCCCUUGCCGAGACGUAUUUUUUUUAUACUGUUGAUUCCCUUGCCGGGAUGCAUUUAUUCUUGUUGUUGAUUCCCUUGCCGGGAUGUAUUUAUUCUUGUUGUUGAUUCCCUUGCCGGAAUGUUGUUGUUGCUAUUGUUUGGGUGAGGAAAGAGAGAUAAAGCACGAAGGGUGAUACGUGCACAUUCAUAUUUAUGCAUGUGGUGAGGAAAGAGUGAUAAAGCACGAAGGGUGAUGCCGUGUAUAUUUUCAUUGAUAUUGAUGCAUAUGGUGAGGAAGAGAGAUAAAACACGAAGGGUGAUGCCGUGCACAUUUUUAAUAUUUACAUGGUGAGGAAGAGAGAUAAAGCACGAAGGGUAAUACUGUGCAUAUUUUUAUUACUUGAUUUCAUUGGUGAGGAUUGAGAGUAAAAGCACGAAGGGUGAUGUCGUGCACUUAUUGCCUGUUUGUUAUGAUUUUUUGCUGCUUUCGGUUCAAUUACCUUAAUUGUCUUAUUCCACUAUCAUUGUGAUUCUUUACGUUUGUAUUUCCCCAUAGCAUGUUACCCCUCCCCCGUUACUCUUGAAUUAUUACAAUUACUGUUAUUCUGCUAGAUACUGUUUAACUGCAUGUUAUUUGUUUAUUGUAUCCUAGCCUCGUCAUUACUUCGCCGGGGUUAGGCUCGACACUUACUUAGUAAAUGGGGUCGGUUGUACUGAUAUUAUACUUUGCACUCUUUUGUGUAGAUCCCGGUACUGGAGCAUACAGACCUUAGCUAGGGGUUGCUGCCUUCAGUCCAUCAAGAGACCCGAGGUAGUCCUGCAGGUGCCCGCAGGCCUUGGCGUCCCCUUCCUAUCUAGUUUCUUUCUGUUCUUUUCUAUUUCAGAGACAGACAUGUACUUUCUUAUUCAGACCCUAUUUGUAUUUUUUCUUAGAUAGUCAGUGAGAUUGUGACACCAGUUCUGGGUGGUUUAUGUUUAUGGAUUCAUAUUAGUAUUAGCUUAAAUGUUAAAUUUCUUUCUUCUGCAUUAUUAUUUUCCGCUGCUUAUAAUAUGUUGACUUGAAAUUGUUAAGAGGUUAAAAAUAAAAAGAAUAAAUUAAUCGGAAUAGUUGGUUUGUCUAGCUUUCACUAGUAGGCGCCAUCACAACUCGAGGGUGGAAAAUCCGGGUCGUGACAGUAAGUCCUCUUUCUCCUUUGGCAUUAGGUAUUGUAGGUUCUAAAAUUUAGAUUUUUGUGUAUUUUGUAGGUUAAUUUCUGUGAUUUGGGUCUUAAUUGAGAUAUUUCUUUUUGCAUGUGUAUUUUAGAACCCCCGGGGACCUUCAGAAAAGACGCAAUUAUCUCAAGGUACUAUUGUAAUACUGUUCAAAGAGCAUAACUAAAGUAUAAACAGGUUUUUAGUUUUCUUCAUAGUGUUGAAUAUUAUUUUUUUUUCCUUUCCAGAUUCAAAUUGGUUUUGUUGUAGAUGUGCUUUAUGUGUUUGAAAAUUGAACCUUCACCUUGGCAUUCAAUGUUUUUUUGUCAUGUGUACUGCUUUUGCUGAGCAUUUGUUUGUGCUUUGAUAUCCACCACUAUAGAAAAUUGAACCUCCGGCUUUCCAUUUGUAUAUGUGCAUGUCAAAACAAGGCUGUCCUUUUCCAGUUCAUCCUUAUGCAAAAUUGAUUCAAAAUUUAUUUUCCAAUUCAUUUCAAAACUUUAUUUGUAUAGAGUUGGUCUUCUUGUCUUUUCUUUUCUUUCUUUUUUAUUUCCUUUGUUCUUUUUGCUUUUUUCAUGUGUCAAUUGUAUAAGAUUAUAAUUUAAACGGUGUGACAAAUAGUAAAUUUUGUCUUGGAAUUUAUGUUCUGUCUUCUUCUCUUUAAAAGUCUACUUCUCACUUGAGUUUCUUGGGACCUGAGACAGUAACAUGUCAAAUUACAAAUGAUGAAAUAAAUUGAUAGAUGAAAUAUCAGUGUUUGUCAUACUUACAUACUGCUGUACAUGUGUGAUAUAUUUUAGUACGUACUCUUUUUCUUGAUUAGAUACAUGCCCCAUUCAAUCAUAGCUAGCUAGAAAGAAUCCUAGAAAAAUUCUAUUACCACUACUACAAUAUUUUUGUAUGUUAAAUCACUGAUCAUUUGGUAUGUGGUUGUUGUACGUAAGGACUGGUCUCUCAAAGAUUGAUUGUCACAUGAAAAUUCAUUGAAUUAGGAGAUAAGGGAAAAAAUUGUUUAGAUAUCUGGUAGUAAAUUUAUAUGUUGAAUAUAUAUAUAUAAAUAUUCUAUUGAAGUGUUGUACAUUAAAUAACUAUUUACAAUUUCAAUCUACAACAGUUACUAAAUCCUUUGUUGAGGUACCAACAACAGUUACAUAUAUAGUUUAGGAUUUUGAAAAGGCUAGAUCAAUAGAAUAAAUUUAACACACCGACAAUCGCUUGAACCUGUUGUACUAACUAAACAUGCAUGUAACACGUUACCGGCCUUGUUCACGCCACAAUUCCUACAAAAUUUUACAUUGUUGUUGCGUUGAUAGGUUACUAAAUCAUCCUUUCUCAUGAAAAUAUUGUAGGUUAUAGUAAACACUCUUGCUAGAGAAAUGUUUAUCAAUGGAGCACUUCUGAAAGGUUUGUUUACCUCGAAAAAUGGGAGUAAUAACUAAAUGUGAUUUGUGGUUUUAAAGAUAUGUGAUUUAUUCCAAUACUAGUGAAUAUGCAAAUAAUAUUAAGUUUAAGUAAGAAGAAUUGAUGAACCAAACAAGUGUUGCUAGUACAAUAAGGACAUCGAGCUCGACUUUCUUGGGGACCUCGAGGUCAGCUAAGAGCAAUGGAGUAUGAAUAAUAAAGUUAAAACAAUAAAGGUAAAGGACAAUUGUUGAGCACGGUAAAUAAGAAAAGCAAGGUAGAAUAUUCUAUUGCAGUGAAUAAUGCCCCCUUUACAAAUGAUUGGGGUCCCCUUUAUAUAGGAGGAGAAAACCCCAAUAUAGUACAUUCCUAAUUGUGGUAAAGAAUUCUAUUGGUACAGAUGUAUAACCACCUAGUACGGACCUGUACCAUUUCGUACAAAUCUUAUCCUUUGAUUUAUGCCUUGAUCCACGUGUCCCUGAGAAAUUCCCGCUCUUUCUUGAGUGUCUUCGAGAUUGUACUGCCCUCGAUGUAGGUCGUGCCAGGCCUCUGACCUACUCUCUCGAGGUGCGUGUCCUCCAUCCGGGUCUGACCCCCGCUUCGAGUCGCUCGGACUCGGACUCAUAGCCCAAUUUAAGACUUCGAAAUCGGGCUCCUUGAUUUUGACCGUAUAUAGAUAGUCCCCGCAUUUCUUAGAAUGGAAUGAUAUGAAACGAUUUGGAUUCCCGAAGUCAUUUAUGGUGGCACCACUCUUAUGACGUAAGCGUUGAAAUGACCGAAGCGUCCCGUCGGUUCUUUUCCCCAAAAAACAAUAAAUGCACGUCAGAGCCGGUCGGCCAUCACUACUAGUGAACUGUCGCCGCCUUCCACUAUAUAUACUUGUUUUCUCUUCUCAAUAAGGACUUUUCCACCUUGCAACACUUAUUCUCUUCUAUACUUUCCUUUUCACCUCCAAAUCCUCCGUCGCAUCGGCUCAAAACCUCGCCGGUUCACUCAUUUUCUUCCCUCUUUUCCUAAAGCACUGAUGGCAAAAACUUCCAAGCCUGUUCCUCAAAAAGAUGGGAAUCUACUUCUACUUCCUGUCCGGUUGGUGGUAAACCGCCUACUCUUCAUAAGAUCGUACCGAGCAAAUUUUCUUUAAAAAAGGACUUUAUAGUCAAGAACCCUCCCGACGUUGCCGGCCAUUGAGAGCAUGCAUCGAGGUAGGUACAUAAGGUCAAUUGAGGAAGGUCAUCUCGAUGCUGUGAGGAGGGAGUGUAAAUGGGGAGAGGAGGUCGUUCUGCAAAUACCUUCUCGAGGGGAGGACAUCACAACUUACGUAGAGGGGUUCCUGAGUGUAUAUACAUACCCCUUUACGUUGGGUCCCCUCGACUCGCUCGUGCUCGAAUUCUACCGAAGAUAUUAAGUAACCCUAGGCUAGAUUCAUCCGUCUUUUUGGCGGAUCGUAAUAAUGAUGAGGUUCUUCAGUGAAAAGGUCGGGCUUGAGUUCACCCUUAGCCACCUCAUCCGAUUAUAUCGACCUCAACAUUUCCGAGGUUUAAUCAAACUCCAACGCCAAUCAACCAAGUCUUUCUUCGCCAGUAACAACGAAGGCAAGGAUCGAGGUUGGAUGAGCCGGUUCAUCCGGGUGAGGACCGUCAAUAUUAUUCCUGAGAAGUUCCUGCCAUUCCAAUGGAAUUUCGAACGCGAGUGAAAUUCUUUUAAUUCUUUUCAAUAAAUUUUGCUAAACUUUGCAUAAUUACUCAUUUCCCCUCUCUGCAGCGGUUCCGUGGAUUCCUAAUGUAAUCCUUGACCUCGAGGACUGGGUUCGCAAACUAGAUGCUACUUCACCAUACGAUAAACGCAAAUGGCAAGACUUGUCGAAGGGCAAGUGGCAAGCAAAACAUCACGGUAUGUGCCAUAAUGUUUCUUUCCUCGUCAAGAAUACCUUUCUUCAUGUGACUGAUUCCUCUAUCGCAAGUAUUGGGGAGUUCUUUGAGAUGAGGCCGCCCCUUUCCGGGGAGGAAGGGGAAGCGGGAUCUUCGGCUCUAAAGCCUAAGGAGGAUAACAACAGGAAGAGGUCCUCGAUGAGAGAGGACACCCAAAGCCAAGCAGAGCCCGCUCGGAGGCGUAGGAGAAGCGUCGUCAUAAACGUGGAUGUUGACUCAACCCACCAGUUCAUGCAUGAUGAUAGUAACGAGAUGGAGGGUUCGACACUGGUGGCUCGAACCAGGAAAUCUUCCGAGGCUGUCAAGCCUCUUGAGUUCGGGGCCCCUAGCCUCGAGGAAGGAUCUUUAAAAGGAAAUGGGGAUGAAGGCCCUACUUUACCUGACGUGACAACCGCUUCUUAGACUUCUGGAAAUACUCUAAAGGGAGUGAGCUUCAAAGCUCCUCCGCCUGAACAGAACGCCUUGGGAGAUCUCCCCAAGGCCAUGACAGCAAGUCAACCCUUGUCGUUUCUGGCUUUCCUAAGGAUACCAUUAGGGAUGCUCAUAAUGUAAAGAUGUCCGAGCUCGACGGUGUAACGACCCGACUGGUCGUUUUGAGCAUUCGCACCUCGCUCGCCAGUUCACGGGCAUGACUAGCCUCGUAUUAUGUAUUAUGUCUUACGUAAAUUGUCAAUUUUUGGUUUUUAGGAUAAUUGGAAUAGAUUUAGAAGAACAAUUCUCAGCUUGAAGCUUUAAAUUUGAAAGGUUUGACAAAGUUUUGACGUUUUAGUAUUUGAUCUAGGACUUGGAUUUUUAUGAUUUGGUUAGCUCCGCUAGGUGAUUUUGGACUUGGGAGCGCGUUCGGAUAUUUAUUUCAAGGUAUGUAGCUAAAUUAGGUUUAAAAUGGCGAAAAUAAGAAAUUUAAGUUUGGAAGUUUGACCCGAGGGUUGACUUUUUGAUAUCGGGGUCGAAAUCCAGUUCUGAUGUGACGACCAGGCCGGUCGUCUUAAGAAUUAAUGCCCCAAUCCCCUAUUAACUUCUUUUUCCAAGUUUAUUUCUGCUAAUAUGAUUUGCCGGGAUGUUCGGUUUUGAGUUUCGGGGAGUUUUGGGACACUUAGUCCCUAAAUGAGAGCUUAAGUGUUGGAAAGUUGACCGUAGUUGGAACAGUGUGAAGACGGCCUCAGAAUGGAAAUCUGAUGGUUCCGUUAGCUCCGUUGGGUGAUUUCGGGGUUAGGAGCGUGUUCGGAUUGUGUUUUGGAGGUCCGUAGCUAAUUUAGGUUUGAAAUGCCGAAAGUUGAAUUUUGGAAGUUUCCGGUUCGAUAGUGAAAUUUUGAUCCAAGGGUCGGAAUGGAAUUCCGAGAGUUGCAGCAGUUCCGUUAUGUCAUUUCAGAUGUGUGUGCAAAAUUUCAGGUCAUUCGGACAUGUUUUGGUAGACUUUUUGAUCGAAAGCGUAUUUUGAGGAAAUUUGGAGUUUUAGGCUUAAAUCCUUGGUUAAUUUGAGGUUUCGAUGUUGUUUUAGGUGUUUUAAGGAUUAGUACAAGUUUGAAUAAGGUAUUAGGUGAUGUUUGUGCUUUUGGUUGAGGUCCCGGGGGCCUUGGGGUGAUUUUGGGAUGGUUAACGAGAAGUUUGAUGAAAUGUUGCAACUGCUAUAUCUUUUGUUGCUUCUGGUAUUUUCGCAUCUGCGGUUUGGAGACCGCAGAUGCGGUGCCGUAGAAGCGGCUAAGCGGGCCGCAGAAGCGGCUUUGGGUCAAGUCCUCAAGAACCGCAGAUGCGGUGAAUGUCCCGUAGAAGUGGAACCGCUCCUGCGGUAAAUGCUCCGCAUAUGCGAAAAUUUGGGUUUUAGUGAAUGUCGCAGAUGCGAAAUAGUUUCCACAGAAGCGGGACCGCAAAUGCGAGAAUCGCUGGGUAGAAAAUAUAAAUAGUUGCCUUCGCGAAUUUGAGGGAUCCUUUCACCAUUUUUAUCCGGGUUUGAAACUUUUAAGAGAGAUUUUUGAGGAAAACAAAGGGGAAUCACUUGGAGGUAACAUCUUUGACUUCAUAACUCAUUUUUAUGUGAUUAAAGACCUAAUUAGUGGUGAGAAAUCUGGGAAAAAUGGGUAAUUAGGGCUUGAGUUUAAGAGGCCUUUAACUGAGGAUUUGAGAUGUCAUUUGGACUCCGAUUUUAGUGUUCUUGUUAUGUAUAGACUCGUGAGAGUAAUAGGUUUCUGAAAAUAUAAAUUUUACCCGAUUCCGAGACAUGGGCCCAAGGGGCAUUUUUGUCAUUUUACAUAAUUUCGCGUAUUAGCUUAGAAUUUAAUUGUAGAAUCAAUUACCUGAAGUGUUAUUUACAUUAUGCAAUUGAAUUGAAUAGAUAUGGGCCAUUUGGAGUCGAGUACUCAUGGCAAAAACGUGGUGUUGAGUUGAUUUUGAGGCGGUUCGAGGUAAGUGACUUGUCUAACCUUGUGUGGGGGACCUUCCCCUUAGGAUUGGUAUAUUUGCUAAUUGAAAUGCCUUGUACGUGAGGUGAUGAGUGCAUACUUGUGCUAAUUGUUGGAAAUCCGGUUUUCUUUAAGUACUUACUAGUAUAUUUCCUUUCUUGUUUCUAUUACUUGCUCUAUUAAGCAUGUUGUUAGCUUAAGAAAGCAUGUCUAAGUGACUUAAUUGCUUCAUUUGAUUUAACCGCCUUACUUGAAUUCUGUACAGCAUGCUAGGCUAGAAUCACUUAUUUCCUUAAUAUAAAUUUUGCUAUUUCUAUUUAUCUUCCUGCUGCUGUGUUUAUUUAUUUUAGGACUACGGAUGUGGGAUUCCGGUAGCUCUCCCUUGUCUGUUUACUUUGGGACUACGGGUUAGAUUCUCGGUAGAUCUCCCUGCACAUUUACUUUGGGACUACGAGUUAGAUUACCGGUAGAUCCCACUGCACAGUUAUAUGGAACUACGGGAAUGCACCCGGUAGAUUCCCCUAGUGCUAGGUAUUUACAUUUGGGACUAUGAAACGAGAUUCCAGUAGAUCCCCGUACACUAUGAGUUGGACUAUGGGACGGGAUCCCCGGAGAUCCUUCGGACAUAUAUAUAUGAUGGACUACGGGACAGUAUCCCGGGAGAUUCACUGGAUAUGUAAAAAUGGGACUACAGGACGGUAUCCUGGGAGAUCCCCGAUUGUUACUAUUGGUGCUGAGCUGUAUUUCCUUUCCAUGUUUACCAUGUUCUGUAUAAUUGUUGUUGUUCUGUAUAUCCUGUGUUAUUUUACUACCGUACUUAUUUAUAUUGUUCUGUCCUAUACUGUUGACCUUUAUAUUUGUUUAACCUCAGUAGGGCCCUAACCUUCCUCGUCACUACCUAACCGAGGUUAGGCUUGGCACUUACUGAGUACCGUUGUGGUGUACUCAUGCCCCCUCUGCGCAUGUUUUUCAUGUGCAGAUCCAGGUACCGCUGAUCAGGCCUACUAUCCUUGAGGGAGGCGACUGCUCUAGAGACUUCGAGGUACAUCUUCCGUGUCCGCAAACCGAGAAGUCCAUUUCUAUUCCUGCUUUUAGUAGUUAGCCCUUCUGUACUUUCUGUUCUUAUUACACAAAUUCCGGAGUAAGAGCUAUGUAGUAUUUCCUUUUCUUAGCUUGUGAUUCGUGGGUUUUUGGGUCAUGGAUUUAGAUAUUGGUUUGUGAUCUAUAUAAAUGUGGUGUAUGCCGAGCGGCACAUUUAACACUGUUAUCGCCUUAUUUCUUUUUUUUUAAAUUAUUUUACUUCCGUAAGUUUAUGUUAUCUUCCGCAAGUUUAGGCUUACCUAGUUGUAUAGACUAGGUGCCGUCACGAUGGUUCACGGAGGGCAAACCGGGGUCGUGACAUCUCAAAAUUUUCAUAGCUUUGUUAUGUCAUUUAUGAUUUAUGUGCAAAAUUUAAAGUCAUUUCGGAUUGAUCAAUGUUUCGGCGCAAAAUGUAGAAGUUUGAAGAUUUGAAAACUCAUAAUUCAAUUCGAUGCGCGAUUCGUAAUUUCGGCGUUGUUUGACCUGGUUUGAAGCCUCGAUUAAGUUCGUAUUGUAUUUUGGGAGAUAUUGAUAUAAUUGGCUAAGGUCCCGAGGGCCUCGAGUGGAUUUCGGAAGGCUAACAAAAUGGAUUUCGGACAAAAAAGGUUGCUGGAAUUUUCUGCUGCAGAAGCCGUCUUUGGACAGCAACUGUGCAAUCGUGGAGCCUAUUUCGGGAGCUUAUAUAUAGAAAUUUGUAAGGAAUCUAUAAAUUAGCAAAACAUCACAGUUGUAUUCCUUUCAUCCUAGUUUCCAGAAAGCUAAAUCAUUAAUUAUUUGGAUAUUUGUACAGAAAGUUAUGAUCGAUUGAAUAAAGGCUGGUAAAGCUGUUUUGAAUUUUUUUUCCAGAAAUUUCUGAUGCGAGGAGGCUACUUUGGAAGCUUAUAUCUCGAAAUUCAUAAGGAAUCUGAAAAUUUGCAAAACAUCAAAGUUCUAGCCCUUGCAUUCUAUUUUCCAUAAAGUUAAACCAUUUAUCAUUUCGACAUUUGUAAUGAACGUUAUGACAGAUUUAGUGAAGACUAGUACUGUCUUUUGUUUUGGCUGGAAAUAAUGAGCAAGCCGCAUUUCAUAGAUGCGACUUGCCUGGAAAGAAGUUUGUAUUCGGGAGUUAGCCAUUUUUAUUAAUUCUUGACGAUUUUAGAGCUCGGAAAAAGCGAUUUUCAAUAGAUUUUUCAAGAGGACUUUUUUGAGGUAAGAUUAUUGAACCUAAAACUCGAUCCUAUGUUGAUUCUUCCUUGUUUUAACAUGAAAUUAGUGAGAUUUAAAGCUUAAAAUUGGGGAAUUAGGGCUUGGAAUUGGAGAGUGUAAAUUGGGAAUUUGAUGGGCCAUUUGAGGUCCGAUUUUGAUGUUUUUGGUAUGUAUGGACUCGUGAGAGGAUAAGGAUUCUAUUGAUGUGAUUUUUAUCAGAUUCCGAGACAUGAGCUCGGGGGGUCGGGUUUGGCCAAUUUUUGGAUUAUUGGUGUAAAUUGAUUAUUUUCGAAUGGGCUUUGUUCCCUUUGCAUAUUUUGAUGGUAUGAAUCUAUUUUUGGUUAGAUUUGGAGCAUUCGGAGGCCGAGUCGAGAGGCAAAGGCAUCGCGGGAUAGAGUUUGGACCAGAUUGAGGUAAGUAAUGAUUGUAAAUGUUGUCCUGAGGGUAUGAAACCCCGGAUUUUACAUCAUUGUGCUACUUUGAGGUGACGCACAUGCUAGAUGAUGAACGUGGGGACGUGCACCAUUGGGGAUUAUAAAUUAGUCCGUCCCGUAUGACUAUUCAAUUGCGUAUUUGACUGAAACCUGUUUGCUAUAAUUGUGUCUGGAGUAUAUUAUCAUGUUUUGGGCUAAAUGCUAUAUUUGAGCCUCAUGCCAAUUGUUUUGGACCCUGAGGGGAUUUUCACUAUUAUUCCUUACUAUUUUGACUUCAUAUUUGUACUCAGUCAUGCUGUAUUCUACUGUUUUCAUAACUCAGCCAUAUUUACUCUAUUUUAACAUUUUAAAUGAUAUUUUGGAAUGAGCAUCAUAUUUUACUAUGCCCGAGUGGCUUUGAGUGAUUUCAGACUGAGUGAGGUUGAUGACCUGUGUUGUGAGGGUAUUAUGGGAUCGGGCUGCGCGCCGCAGUAGUGUGGUACUGAUUCAUGUUAUAAGGCCAAGUGCCUGUUUGAUUAUGCCACGAGAUGGCUUGUUAUUGCGCUUGGGCUGUAAUGAUCCCCUCCCGGAGUCUGUACACCCCCAGUGAGCGCGAGUACCUAGUGUGAGUGAUAUGUUGUAGCCUGAGGGGCUGUUGUUGUUUCAUAUUAUUGCCCGAGGGUCUGUUUUUGAUCCAUGUUUUGCCCGAGGAGUGAUUCUUGAUUUAUGUUAUGCCCGAGGGGCUGAUUAUGAGUGAUUGUAAGGUAACCCAAGAGGCUGGUUCUGUUGAUAUUAUGCCCGAGGGGCAGUUUAUGGUAGAUGUUUUGCCUGAGGGGCUGUUUACGUUUCUACCAUGUCUAUUCACUGUUUUUAUCACUCGUUGAAACUAUUGAAAAUUGUUUUAAAAGGUUUUACCGAAACUAAGCAUGAUUUACGAAGUAAAUGAUUUCUGUACUGUGUUGGAAAUGUCCUGCAUUUGUUGUAGCGUUUUGACGUGGUUUACGUAUUUUCUUACUGCUCAUCUUUCAUUUACCUUUAUUACUUACUGAGUUGGCAUACUCACAUUACUCCCUACAUCUUGUGUGCAGAUACAAGCAUUUCUGAACCCGGUAGUGGGUGUUGAUUGCUUAGUGGCAGAGUCAUUGGAGUUAGCAGGUAGUUGUCCGGUUUGUAGCCCUGCUCUUUCCCUUUUAUCUUCCUUAGCCUGUUAUAGUUUAUUUUCAAACUCUUCGUUAUAUUCGGACAUUAGUAGAUGCUCGUGACUUGUGACACCGCGAUGUCGGGCUUGUGUAUUUAUUCCGCACUGUUCACUUAGACUUACAUUUUGAGAUAUGUGAUUAAUUAAAGGCUUCAAAAUGACUUUUAUUAAUUAAAGGGUUAAUUCGGGAGUUGUGUUGGGUAGCCUAGUUUCACGAUAGGCACCAUCACGACCGGAUCAAUUUUUAGGGUCGUGAAAAGUUGGUAUCAGAGCCUAGGUUAUAUAGGUCUCGCGAGUCAUGAGCAGGUUUAGUAGAGUCUCGCGGAUCGGUACAGAGACGUUUGUACUUAUCCUUGGGAGGCUGCAGAACCUUUAAGAAAAACUUUACAUUCUUGAAUUCUUAUUGUGCGUCCUUGAUUCAGCUUGAAGUGUAACUCUUUGAAUUCCUUCCACGCGUUCGUGUGCGCACAUGAGCGCUCAAUAUCACCUGUGUAUUGACGGUUUGUGAUUCCCUGAUCGAGGUGUGAGAUAUGAUUUUUGUGUUGAUGUUGGGCCAGUCUGGAGGACUUGAGGUCGGGACUUGCCUGUAGCUUGAGCCUUGAGCUGUUGAUUGCGCAAGCGCAUGUUUCUGGAUUUAUAUGUUCGAUAGUGUGCCGAUUAAGGGAAGUGAUGAUUGGAUUGAUAUGUGAUGAGUAUGAUGUGACUGCGAGAUAUUUUCAUAUGAUUUGAACGAGACAAGAAGGGUCUACUUAGGGGUAGUAAGAACUAUUUGGUGCUUGGUUUCCAUCGUGAUUUGAUGUAUAGCCCGAGUCGUGGGCGUGUUGAAGGAUCUUUUCAUGUUGUCUAGUUGGGAAGUGAAGUAGAUUUCAUGUUGUGAUAUGAGCUCAGACUCGGGAAGAUUAAGUGAUUGCGUGUUAUUUAUGACGGUGGAAGAGUAUAAAGAAAUGUUAGUUUGAGGCGAAACAGGUGGGGUAUCUCCUGCAAAGUGUUCUGAAGUUUGUGUGAUCCUUAUGUUGUUUGUUGGAAGAUCUCUUUUACUAGUGAAACAUAUGUGUUGAAAUUUGAAUUUGGGUCGCUUAAGAGAGUGGGCUUGACUGUUACAAGGGUGAAUGCGAGAUUUGCAGAAGAUUUGAAGUACUAGAUGGUCUGUGUUGCACGAGCUUAUGAAAAAUUGAGUUUAAUCUCACUAUGGUAUUAUGGCAGUAAUGGAGUAUAUGCAUUAUGAGUUAUUGUGUGUUUUGAUCCAUGACUUCGAGCCAAGUGGGGGAGUCUGCUAUUGAUUUGUUGAUUGCACGAUUAUGUGCUAUGUUGGUUCCAGUUUGAGGUGUACUGGUGAAUAAAUUAUGGCUUACGGAGGUUGAGAGCAAGUAUGUCUCAAGUAAAGGAAAUUUCAAUAAAGGUUAUGUUAUGCUUUAUGGGUGUAUGAGAAUCACGGAAUGACUUGAAUUGUUAUUGGUAAAGGAUGUACAAUGCUUAGAACAGGAAGUUGCUUUGUUGCAUUAAGGUGAAGUUACAUUCUGUGGUGUCGGAGUGCUAAUGGAGCAUAGGUCAUCCGAUCCAUUUGAUUAGUCUAAUUACGAUUUGAGUAGAGUGAAUGACUCUCGAGAAUGGUUCUAGUGGGUUCAAGAUUUUACAUGUAAUAAUUGGAGAUUUUCAGGUUGUAUAUUUGGCUAGAAACUGAGGUAUGCAUUGAAGGGUGUCAAGACUCGUGGUAUUUCUAUAUCAUUAUGGAUUCUACACAUCAAUAUUAGGAAGAUGAAGGUAAUGGCUUUAGAUUUGCAGAAAGUCUCUUCAGGGAAAGUAUUUCGAAUGUGGUGCUUUUGGGGAUAUUUGAGAGAGUAGUCAGCGGCUUAUGAACCGUAGGACGAUGUGGCUUUUUGAUUGGGUCUUGUGCGAUGAGUCUGGGUCGAGGAUUGCUAUAUUAUGGCAAGGAAAAAUAUUAAUUUGAAGGUAAUUCAGAAGGAACUUGGAUAAAUAGGACAACUUGGUAGUAGGUCAGAUCGGCAUGGUAAGGGAUAUGAUUAGUUCUUUGGGUGCUUAUGAGGUAAUGAGUUUUUACAGGUGUCUCGUGGAAAUGCUCUUGGGUUUUUGGUGACCUGUGUAGCUUGGUUGAGCUAGAGGAAUUCAGUCCCGACGGUUUAGUUUUGUGCAAAUAGGAUUCGAAGAGUUCUUGAUGGUUUCUACCACGGUUAGAGAUGUAUAUUUUCUACUAACCUAAGGAGCAUAUGAUGUAUAGCAAUUUUCUUCUAGAUUGGAUCAAAUGGGAGAGUUCUUGGCUAGGGAAGUACGUAUUUGCUUGUGGCUUGGAAUGGAUUAUGAAGUUCUCAUAUUUGUCAUAGGAUGGUAUGGAAUAUCUGGUAUGUCAUGUAGGGUGAGAUCUGCAUAUGUGAGUUCACAGGUCAGUUCUGAAAGGAAGGUCAUAAAUUCUUAGGCAGCACAGGCAGUUUCAGAUGAGUAGGUAAAUGAUGUUACUAAUUGGUGUGGUUUGAUGAGGGUAUACAUUUUCAGAAAGGGCAAUGUGUUUGAGUUAAGGGUACUUCCUUGGUAUUGCGACACUCUCUUGUUGGAUCGACUGCUGAUAUUCAAGAUUGCUUGGUCGCACAGAAGAAUUAUAAGAGUAUCCCUGUGGAAUGAUUGAGUAUGAGAGGUGUGUUAGAUAUUCAAGCGGUAGAGUUGAGAUCGGGUGGGGUGAUUCGUAUGCUUCAUGGAUUUGGGAACUGGGAAUUCUCAUAAACAGGUUAUUUCGUAGUGGUGGACUGUGAAGAUGUGGGCAAAGCUAGUCAGAUGAUAGUAUGUGCCAGGAUUCAGUCAUUAUGAACUUUUGGAGAGUGAUUUAUCUAUUGUGGAAUAAAGUUGAUUUGGGGUUCAUUGGUAGGCCCAACAUGGAUGUGUGUUCUACACCGGGUCGUAUUUGUUGACUCCGAGCUGCUAUUGUUGAGAGAUGUGUCAUUCGAUUAUUGUUGAGCUUAUUCAUGUUCUGGAUUGAUCUAUGAGUUGCUCUUCUGUAUUAUGGAGUUAUGAUUUGUUGGUUAUAUGCACAUAUGGUGCGGUUUCAUUUCGGCUUCAUAGCAGAAAUUGAGUGAGACGGGGUAUUUGGGUGUUGCAGGAUUGAUGGAGCAUUUGAUGUGUUCUCUCGGACUGGUAUGAUAUUGCAUCAUUUGCUCUCCGUGGUUAUGGUGAUUCACUUUUGGUACUAGUCAUCAAAUUGCGCGUGGUAGUUGAUUUUGGGCAUGGUGAUUUGAGGUGUUUCAUGUGGACCAAUGUUUGGACAGGAUCGCGCGUUGCAGCGAAGUUAUGUGGAGGUAUGAUCCUUCAGGUUGUAUUCGUUUGUUCUGGUUCUACGAUGUGUGAUAAAUUUUUAGCAUCGUGUUGUGAUGGUACUGGUGAGCUUGCGGUACAACUCUCUCAUUUGAGUUAUUCUCCAUGAUUUGAGUAUAUUUGGACUGGUGCUUAUUGGUGCACGGGUUGUGGCUUGAGAAUUUUAUCGAUGUGUCAUGUCAUUAGAGUAGUCAUAUGGGAUAAGAUGAGGUCACUGGGAUCUAGAAUGAAUACUAUUGGAUUUGAUUUCAGCAUGUUGGAAGGAUAACAUCGAUAUUCGUCUUAGAAAUUUACUAUGGUCCUUGUCAAAGGAGAAGUGACUUCAUGAAUGGUUGAUCUUAGGAAUGGUUAUGACUUCCAACGUGUUUCAUUCAUCAUUGGCAGUAUACGAAAGUGUUGGAAUGAGGUUUUAUUUGAUAAGAGUUUUAUUACCAGUAUUCGGUUGUUUUGAGCAGCUGCUAUGAUUUGAAGUUAUCGCUAAGAGUGUUUGAGUUGUGUGGUAUAUCAUGUAAUUGCAUCUGACGUUGCAGGUAUGGUCUGUUAUAGCUUGUUCGGGGUUAUUCAGAGUGUAGAUGUGAGAUUCUAAUCUUGUAGGUGAUCUCAGAAGUGGAAAUGUGGUUCUAAGGUUUAUGGGCUCAGUUGGAUUGUGAAAUUUCAGUUACAGUGUGUUAUCAGACCUAUAUGUGAUAGGGUGACAUGGGAUUCCUACCGGGUAUGUGCAUGGUAAGGUUACACAGUAAUUUAAUGGUUUUCGGAACAACUCUGGGCACGUUCGAGGAUGAACGUAUGUUUAAGUGGGGGAGGAUGUAACGACCCGACCGGUCAUUUUGAGCAUUUGCACUUCGCUCGUCAGUUCACGGGCAUAACUAGCCCCGUAUUAUGUAUUAUGUCUUAUGUAAAUCAUUGGUUUUGGUUUUUAGGAUAAUUGGAAUAGAUUUGGAAGAACAAUUCUCAGCUUGAAGCUUUAAAUUUGAAAGGUUUGACCAAGUUUUGACUUUUUAGUAUUCUAUCUCAGAUUUGGAUUUUUAUGAUUUGGUUAGCUCCGCUAGGUGAUUUUGGAAUUGGGAGCGCGUCCAGAUAUUUAUUUCGAGGUCCGUAGCUAAAUUAGGCUUAAAAUGGCGAAAAUAAGAAAUUUAUGUUUGGAAGUUUGACCCGAGGGUUUACCUUUUGAUAUCGUGGUCGGAAUCCAGUUCUAAAAAUUUUCAUAGCUUUGUUAUGUCAUUUAUGACUUGUGUGCAAAAUUUGAAGUCAUUCCGGAUUGAUCAAUGAUUCGGCGCAAAAUGUAGAAGUUGGAAGAUUAGAAAACUCAUAUUUUAAUUCAAUGCGCGAUUCGUAAUUUCGGUGUUGUUUGAUGUGGUUUGAAGCCUCGAUUAAGUUCGUAUUGUAUUUUGGGAGAUGUUGAUAUAAUUGGUUAAGGUCCCGAGGGCUUCGGGUGGAUUUCAGAAGGCUAACAAAAUGGAUUUCAGACAAACAAAGGUUGCUGGAAUUUUCUGCUGCAGAAGCCGUCUUUGGACAGCAACUGUGCAAUCGUGAAGCCUAUUUCGGGAGCUUAUAUAUAAAAAUUUGUAAGGAAUCUAUAAAUUAGCAAAACAUUACAGUUGUAUCCCUUUCAUCCUAGUUUCCAGAAAGCUAAAUCAUUAAUCAUUUGGAUAUUUGUACAGAAAGUUAUGAUCGAUUGAAUAAAGGCUGGUAAAGCAGUUUUGAAUUUUUUUCCAGAAAUUUCUUAUGCAAGGAGGCUACUUUAGAAGCUUAUAUCUCGAAAUCCAUAAGGGGUAUGAAAAUUAGCAAAACAUGAAAGUUGUAGCCCUUGUAUUCUAGUUUCCAGAAAGUUAAACCAUUCAUCAUUUUGACAUUUGUAAAGAACGUUAUGACAGAUUUUGUAAAGACUAGUACUGUCUUUUGUUUUGGCUGGAAAUAAUGAGCAAGUCGCAUUUCAUAGAUGCGACUUGCCUGGAAAGAAGUUUGUAUUCAGGAGUUAGCCAUUUUUAUUCAUUCUUGAUGAUUUUAGAGCUCAGAAAAAGCGAUUUUCAAUAGAUUUUUCAAGAGGACUUCUUUGAGGUAAGAUUAUUGAACCUAAAACUCGAUCCUAUGUUUAUUCUUCCUUGUUUUAACAUGAAAUUAGUGAGAUUUAAAGCAUAUAAUUGGGGAAUUAGGGCUUGGAAUUGGAGAGUGUAAAUUGGGGAUUUGAUGGGCCAUUUGAGGUCCGAUUUUGAUGUUCUUGGUAUGUUUGGACUCGUGAGAGGAUAAGUAUUCUAUUGAUGUGAUUUUUAUCAAAUUUCCAAGACGUGAUCUCGGGGGUCGGGUUUGGCCAAUUUUGGGAUUCUUGGUGUAAAUUGAUUAUUUUCGAAUGGGCUUUGUUACCUUGGCAUAUUUUGAUGGUAUGAAUCUAUUUUUGGUUAGAUUUGGAGCAUCCGGAGGUCGAGUCAAGAGGCAAAGGCAUAGCGGGAUAGAGUUUGGACCAGAUUGAGUUAUGUAAUGAUUGUAAAUGUUGUCCUGAGGGUAUGAAACCCCGGAUUUCACAUUAUUGUGCUACUUUGAGGUGACGCACACGCUAGAUGAUACUUGGUGGGGCCAUGCACCGUUGGGGAUUAUACAUUAGUCCGUCCCGUAUGACUAUUCAACUGCGUAUUUGACUUAAACUUGUUUGCUAUAAUUGUGUUUGGAAAGUAUUAUCAUGUUUUGGGCUGAAUGCCAUAUUUGAGCCUCAUGCCAAUUGUUUUGUACCCUGAGGGGAUUUUCACUAUUAUUCCUUACUAUUUUGACUUCAUAUUUGUACUCAGUCAUGCUGUAUUCUACUGUUUUCAUAACUCAGCCAUAUUUACUCUAUUUUAACAUUUUAAAUGAUAUUUUGGAAUGAGCAUCAUAUUUUACUAUGCCCGAGUGGCUUUGAGUGAUUUCUGACUGAGUGAGGUUGAUGACCUGUGUUGUGAGGGUAUUAUGGGAUCGGGCUGCGCGCCGCAGUAGUGUGGUACUGAUUCAUGUUAUAAGGCCAAGUGCCUGUUUGAUUAUGCCACGAGAUGGCUUGUUAUUGCGCUUGGGCUGUAAUGAUCCCCUCCCANNNNNNNNNNNNNNNNNNNNNNNNNGAGUCUGUACACCCCCAGUGAGCGCGAGUACCUAGUGUGAGUGAUAUGUUGUAGCCUGAGGGGCUGUUGUUGUUUCAUAUUAUUGCCCGAGGGUCUGUUUUUGAUCCAUGUUUUGCCCGAGGAGUGAUUCAUGAUUUAUGUUAUGCCCGAGGGGCUGAUUAUGAGUGAUUGUAAGGUAACCCAAGAGGCUGGUUUUGUUGAUAUUAUGCCCGAGGGGCAGUUUAUGGUAGAUGUUUUGCCUGAGGGGCUGUUUACGUUUCUACCAUGUCUAUUCACUGUUUUUAUCACUCGUUGAAACUAUUGAAAAUUGUUUUAAAAGGUUUUACCGAAACUGAGCAUGAUUUAUGAAGUAAAUGAUUUCUGUACUGUGUUGGAAAUGUCCUGCAUUUGUUGUAGCGUUUUGACGUGGUUUACGUAUUUUCUUACUGCUCAUCUUUCAUUUACCUUUAUUACUUACUGAGUUGGCGUACUCACAUUACUCCCUACAUCUUGUGUGCAUAUACAAGCAUUUCUGAACCCGGUAGUGGGUGUUGAUUGCUUAGUGGCAGAGUCAUUGGAGUUAGCAGGUAGUUGCCCGGUUCGCAACCAUGCUCUCUCCCUUUUAUCUUCCUUAGCCUGUUAUAGUUUAUUUUUAAACUCUUCAUUGUAUUCGGACUUUAGUAGAUACUCGUGACUUGUGACACCCCGAUGUCGGGCUUGUGUACUUAUUCUGCACUGUUCACUUAGCCUUACAUUUUGAGAUAUGUGAUUAAUUAAAGGCUUUAAAAUGACUUUUAUUAAUUAAAGGGUUAAUUCGGGAGUUGUGUCGGCUAGCCUAGUUUCACGAUAGGCACCAGCACGACUGGGUAAGUUUUUAGGGUCGUGACAAGUUGGUAUGAGAGCCUAGGUUACAUAGGUCUCACGAGUCAUGAAUAGUUUUAGUAGAGUCUCGCGGAUCGGUACAGAUACGUUUUUACUUAUCCUCGGGAGGCUGCAGAACCUUUAAAAAAACUUUACAUUCUUGAAUUCAUAUUGUGCGUCCUUGAUUCAGCUUGAAUUGUAACUCUUUGAAUUCCUUCCACGCGUUCGUAUGCGCACAUGAGCGCUUGGUAUCAGUUGUGCAUUGACGGCUUGUGAUUCCCUGAUUAAGGGGCGAGAUAUGAUUUUUGUGUUGAUGUUGGGCCAGUCUGGAGGACUUGAGGUCGGACCUUGCCUGUAGCUUGAGCCCUGAGUUGUUGAUUACGCAAGCGCGUGUUUCUGGAUUUAUAUGUUCGAUAGUGUGCUGAUUAAGGGAACUGAUGACAGGAUUGCUAUGUGAUGAGUAUGAUGUGACUGCGAGAUAUUUUCAUAUGAUUUGAACGAGACAAGAAGGGUCUGCUUGGGGGUAGUAAGAACUAUUUGGUGCUUGGUUUCCAUCGUGAUUUGAUGUAUAGCCCGAGUCGUAGGCGUGUUGAAGGAUCUUUUCAUGUUGUCUAGUUGGGAAGUGAAGUAGAUUUCAUGUUGUGAUAUGAGCUCAGACUCAGGAAGAUUAAGUGAUUGUGUGAUAUUUUUUACGGUGAAAGAGUAUAAAUAAAUGUUAGUUUGAGGCGAAGCAGGUGGGGUAUCUCCUGCAGAAUGUUCUGAAGUUUGUGUGAUGCUUAUGUUGUUUGUUGGAAGAUCUCUUUUACUAGUGAAACAUAUGUAUUGCAAUUUGAAUUUGGGUCACUUAAGAGAGUGGGCUUGACUGUUACAAGGGUGAAUGCGAGAUUUGUAGAAGAUUUGAAGUACUAGAUGGUCUGUGUUGCACGAGAUUAUGAAAAAUUGAGUUUAAUCUCACUAUGGUAUUAUGGAAGUAAUGGUGUAUAUGCAUUAUGAGUUAUUGUGUGUUUUGAUCCAUGAGUUCGAGCCUAGUGGGGGAGUCUGCUAUUGAUUUAUUGAUUGCACGGUUAUGUGCUAUGUUGGUUCCAGUUUGAGGUGUACUGGUGAAUCAGUUAUGGCUUACGGAGGUUGAGACCAAGGAUGGCUCAAGUAAAAGAAAUUUCAAUAAAGGUUAUGUUAUGCUUUAUGGGUGUAUGAGAAUCACGGAAUGACUUGAAUUGUUAUUGGUAAAGGAUGUAUGGUGCUUAGAAUAGGAAGUUGCUUGGUUGCAUUAAGGUGAGGUUACAUUCUGCGGUGUCGGGGUGCUAAUGGAGCAUAGGUCAUCCGAUCCAUUUGAUCAGUCUAAUUGCGAUUUGAGUAGAGUGAAUGACUCUCGAGAAUAGUUCUAGUAGGUUCAAGAUUUUACAUGUAAUAAUUGGAGAUUUUCAGGUUGUAUAUUUGGCUAGAAACUGAGGUAUGCAUUGAAGGGUGUCAAGACUCGUGGUAUUUCUAUAUCAUUAUGGAUUCUACACAUCAAUAUUAGGAAAAUGAAGGUAAUGGCUUUAGAUUUGCAGAAAGUCUCUUCAGGGAAUGUAUUUCGAAUAUGGUGCUUUUGGAGUUAUUUGAGAGAGUAGUCAGCGGCUUAUAAAUCGUAGGACGAUGUGGCUUUAUGAUUGGGUCGAGGAUUGCGGUAUUAUGGCGAGGGAAAAUAUUAAUUUGAAGGUAAUUCAGAAGGAACUUGGAUAAAUAGGAUAACUUGGUAGUAGGUCAGAUCGACAUGGUAAGGGAUAUGAUUAGUUCUUUGGGUGUUUAUGAAGUAAUGAGUUUUUACAGGUGUCUCGUGGCAAUGCUCUUGGGUUUUUGGUGACCUGCGUAGCUUGGUUGAGAUACAGGAAUUCAGUCCCGACGGUUUAGUUUUGUGCAAAUAGGAUUCGAAGAGUUCUUGAUGGUUUCUACCACGGUUAGAGAUGUAUAUUUUCUACUAGCCUAAGGAGCAUGUGAUGUAUAGCAAUUUUCUUCUAGAUUGGAUCAAAUGGGAGAGUUCUUGGCUAGGGAAGUACGUAGUUGCUUGUGUCUUGGAAUGGAUUAUGAUAUUAUGCCCGAGGGGCGGUUUAUGGUAAAUGUUUUGCCUGAGGGGCUAUUUACGUUUCUACCAUGUCUAUUCAUUGUUUUAUCACUCGUUGAAACUAUUGAAAAUUAUUUUAAAAGGUUUUACCGAAACUGAGCAUUAUUAACGAAGUAAAUGAUUUCGGUACUGUGUUGGAAAUGUCUUGCAUUUGUUGUAGCGUUUUGACGUUGUUUACGUAUUUUCUUACUGCUCAUCUUUCAUUUACCUUUAUUACUUACUGAGUUGGCGUACUCAAAUUACUCCCUACAUCUUGUGUGCAGAUACAAGUAUUUCUGAACCCGGUAGUGGGUGUUGAUUGCUUAGUGGCAGAGUCAUUGGAGUUAGCAGGUAGUUGCCCGGUUCGCAGUCCUGCUCUAUCCCUUUUAUCUUCCUUAGCCUGUUAUAGUUUAUUUUCAAACUCUUCGUUGUAUUUGGACUUUAGAUGCUCGUGACUUGUGACACCCCGAUGUCGGGCUUGUGUAUUUAUUUCGCACUGUUCACUUAGACUUACAUUUUGAGAUAUGUGAUUAAUUAAAGGCUUAAAAUGACUUUUAUUAAUUAAAGGGUUAAUUCGGGAGUUGUCUUGGCUAGCCUAUUUUCACGAUAGGCACUAGCACGACCGGGUCNNNNNNNNNNNNNNNNNNNNNNNNNUUUAGUAGAGUCUCGCGGAUCAGUACGGAGACGUUUGUACUUAUCCUCGGGAGGCUGCAGAACCUUUAAGAAAAACUUUACAUUCUUGAAUUCUUAUCGUGCGUCGUUGAUUCAGCUUGAAGUGUAACUCUUUGAAUUCCUUCAAUGCGUUCGUAUGCGCACAUGAGCGCUCGGUAUCAACUGUGCAUUGACGGCUUGUGAUUCCCUGAUCGAGGGGCGAGAUAUUAUUUUUGCGUUAAUGUUGGGCCAGUCUGGAGGACUUGAGGUCGGGACUUGCCUGUAGCUUGAGCCCUGAGCUGUUGAUUGCGCAAGCGCGUGUUUCUGGAUUUUUGUGUUCGAUAGUGUGCCGAUUAAUGGAAGUGAUGACUGGAUUGUUAUGUGAUGAGUAUGAUGUGACUGCGAGAUAUUUUCAUAUGAUUUGAACGAGAUAAGAAGGGUCUGCUUGGGGUAGUAAGAACUAUUUGGUGCUUGGUUUCCAUCGUGAUUUGAUGUAUAGCCCGAGUCGUGGGCAUGUUGAAGGAUCUUUUCAUGUUGUCUAGUUGGGAAGUGAAGUAGAUUUCAUGUUGUGAUAUGAGCUCAGACUUAGGAAGAUUAAGUGAUUGCAUGAUAUUUAUGACGGUGGAAAAGUAUAAAGAAAUGUUAGUUUGAGGCGAAGCAGGUGGGGUAUCUCCUGCAGAGUGUUCUGAAGUUUAUGUGAUCCUUAUGUUGUUUGUUGGAAGAUCUCUUUUACUAGUGAAACAUAUGUGUUGCAAUUUGAAUUUGGGUCGCUUAAGAGAGUGGGCUAGACUGUUACAAGGGUGAAUGCGAGAUUUGCAGAAGAUUUGAAGUACUAGAUGGUCUGUGUUGCACGAGCUUUUGAAAAAUUGAGUUUAAUCUCACUAUGGUAUUAUGGCAGUAUUGGAGUAUAUGCAUUAUGAGUUAUUGUGUGUUUUGAUCCAUGACUUCGAGCCAAGUGGGGGAGUCUGCUAUUGAUUUGAUGAUUGCACGGUUAUGUGCUAUGUUGGUUCCAGUUUGAGGUGUACUGGUGAAUCAGUUAUGGCUUACGGAGGUUGCGGCCGAGGAUGGCUCGAGUAAAGGAAAUUUCAAUAAAGGUUAUGUUAUGCUUUAUGGGUGUAUGAGAAUCACGGAAUGACUUGAAUUGUUAUUGGUAAAGGAUGUACAGUGCUUAGAAUAGGAAGUUACUUGGUUGCAUUAAGGUGAGGUUACAUUCUGCGGUGUCGGAGUGCUAAUGGAGCAUAGGUCAUCCGAUCCAUUUGAUUAGUCUAAUUGCGAUUUGAGUAGAGUGAAUGACUCUCGAGAAUGGUUCUAGUGGGUUCAAGAUUUUACAUGUAAUAAUUGGAGAUUUUCAGGUUGUAUAUUUGGCUAGAAACUAAGGUAUGCACUGAAGGGUGUCAAGACUCGUGGUAUUUCUAUAUCAUUAUGGAUUCUACACAUCAAUAUUAGGAAGAUGAAGGUAAUGGCUUUAGAUUUGCAGAAAUUCUCUUCAGGGAAAGUAUUUCAAAUGUGGUGCUUUUGGAGAUAUUUGUGAGAGUAGUCAGCGGCUUAUGAACCGUAGGACGAUGUGGCUUUAUGAUUGGGUCUCGUGCGAUGAGUCUGGGUCGAGGAUUGCGGUAUUAUGGCAAGGAAAAAUAUUAAUUUGAAGGUAAUUCAGAAGGAACUUGGAUAAAUAGGCCAACUUGGUAGUAAGUCAGAUCGGCAUGGUAAGGGAUAUGAUUAGUUCUUUGGGUGCUUAUGAGGUAAUGAGUUUUUACAGGUGUCUCGUGGCAAUGCUCUUGGGUUUUUGGUGACCUGCGUAGCUUGGUUGAGCUAGAGGAAUUCAGUCCCGAUUGUUUAGUUUUGUGCAAAUAGGAUUCGAAGAGUUCUUGAUGGUUUUUACCACGGUUAGAGAUGUAUAUUUUCUACUAGCCUAAGGAGCAUGUGAUGUACAACAAUUUUCUUCUAGAUUGGAUCAAAUGGGAGAGUUCUUGGCUAUGGAAGUACGUAUUUGCUUUUGGCUUGGAAUGGAUUAUGAAGUUCUCAUAUUUGUCAUAGGAUGGUAUGGAAUAUCCGGUAUGUCGUGUAGGGUGAGAUCUACAUGUGUGAGGUCACAGGUCAGUUCUGAAAGGAAGGUCAUAAAUACUUAGGCAGCACAGGCAGUUUCAGAUGAGUAGGUAAAUGAUGUUACUAAUUGGUGUGGUUUGAUGAGGGUAUACAUUUUCAGAAAGGGCAAUGUGUUUGAGUUAAGGGUACUUCCUUGGUAUUGUGACACUCUCUUGUUGGAUCGACUGCUGAUAUUCAAGAUUGCUUGGUCGCACAGAAGAAUUAUAGGAGUAUCCUUGUGGAAUGCUCGAGUAUGAGAGGUGUGUUAGAUAUUCAAGCGGUAGAGUUGAGAUCGGGUGGGGUGAUUCGUAUGCUUCAUGGAUUUGGGAACUGGGAAUUCUCAUAAAUAGGUUAUUUCGUAGGGGUGGACUGUGAAGAUGUGGGCAAAUCUAGUCAGAUGAUAGUAUUUGCCAGGAUUCAGUCAUUAUUAACUUUUGGAGAGUAAUUUAUCUAUUGUGGAACACAAUUGAUUUUGGGUUCAUUGGUAGGCCCAACAUGGAUGUGUGUUCUGCACCGGGUCGGAUUUGUUGACUCCGAGCUGCUAUUGUUGAGAGAUGUGUCAUUCAAUUAUUGUUGAGCUUAUUCGUGUUCUAGAUUGAUCUAUGAGUUGCUCUUCUGUAUUAUGGAGUUAUUAUUUGUUGGCUAUAUGCACAUAUGGUGCGGUUCCAUUUUGGCUUCAGAGCAGAAAUUGAGUGAGACGGGGUAUUUGGGUGUUGCAGGAUUGAUGGCGCAUUUGAUGUGUUCUCUCGGACUGGUAUGAUAUUGCGUAAUUUGCUCUCUGUGUUUAUGGUGAUUCACUUUUGGUACUAGACAUCAAAUUGCGCGUGGUAGUUGAUUUUGGACAUGGUUAUUUGAGGUGUUUCAUGUGGACCAGUGUUUGGACAGGAUCGCGCGUUGCAACGAAGUUAUGUGGAGGUAUGAUCCUUCGGGUUGGAUUCGUGUGUUCUGGUUCUACGGUGUGUGAUGGAAUUUUAGCAUCGUGUUGUGAUGGUACUGGUGAGCUUGCAGUACAACUCUUUCAUUUGAGUUAUUCUCCAUGAUUUGAGUAUAUUUGGAUUAGUGCUUAUUGGUUCACGGGUUGUGGCUUGAGAAUUUUAUCGAUGUGUCAUGUCAUUAGAGUAGCCAUAUGGGAUAAGAUGAGGUCACUAGGAUCUAGAAUGAAUACUAUCGGAUUCGAUUUCAGCAUGUUGGAAGGAUAAUAUCAAUAUUCGGCUUAGAAAUUUACUAUGGUCCUUGUCAAAGGAGAAGUGAAUUCAUGAAUGGUUGAUCUGAGGAAUGGUUAUGACUUCCAGCAUGUUUCAUUCAUCAUUGGCAGUAUAUGAAAGUGUUGGAAUGAGGUUUUAUUUGAUAAGAGUUUUAUUAUCGGUAUUCAGUUGUUUUGAGCAACUGAUGUGAUUUGAAGUUAUCACUACGAGUGUUUGAGUUAUGUGGUAUAUCAUGUAAUUGCAUCUGACGUUGCAGGUACAGCUUGUUCGGGCUUAUUCAGAGUGUAGAUGUGAGAUUCUAAUCUUGUAGGUGAUCUCAGAAGUGGAAAUGUGGUUCUAAGGUUUAUGGGCUCAGUUGGAUUGCGAAAUUUCAGUUACAUUGUGUUAUCUGACCUAUAUGUGAUAGGGUGACGUGGGAUUCCCCCCGGGUAAGUGCAUGGUAAGGUUACACAGUAAUUUAAUGGUUUUCGGAACAACUCUGGGCACAAUCGAGGACGAACGUAUGUUUAAGUGGGGGAGGAUGUAACGACCCGAUCGGUCAUUUUGAGCAUUCGCACUUCUCUCGCCAGUUCACGGGCAUAACUAGCCCCGUAUUAUGUAUUAUGUCUUAUGUAAAUCAUCGGUUUUGGUUUUUAGGAUAAUUGGAAUAGAUUUGGAAGAACAAUUCUCAGCUUGAAGCUUUAAAUUUGAAAGGUUUGACCAAGUUUUGACUUUUUAGUAUUCGAUCUCAGAUUUGGAUUUUUAUGAUUUGAUUAGCUACGCUAGGUGAUUUUGGACUUGGGAGCGUGUCUAGAUAUUUAUUUCGAGGUCCGUAGCUAAAUUAGGCUUAAAAUGGCGAAAAUAAGAAAUUUAAGUUUGGAAGUUUGACCCGAGGGUUGAAUUUUUGAUAUCGGGGUCGGAAUCCAGUUCUGAAAAUUUUCAUAGCUUUGUUAUGUUAUUUAUGACUUGUGUGCAAAAUUUGAAGUCAUUUCAGAUUGAUCAAUGAUUCCGCACAAAAUGUAGAAGUUGGAAGAUUAGAAAACUCAUAUUUCAAUUCAAUGCGCGAUUCGUAAUUUCGGCAUUGUUUGAUGUGGUUUGAAGCCUCGAUUAAGUUCGUAUUGUAUUUUGGGAGAUGUUGAUAUAAUUGGUUAAGGUCCCGAGGGCCUCGGGUGGAUAUCGGAAGGCUAACGAAAUGGAUUUCGGACAAAAAAAGUUUGGUGGAAUUUUCUGCUGCAGAAGCCGUCUUUGGACAGCAACUGUGCAAUCGUAGAGCCUAUUUCGGGAGCUUAUAUAUAGAAAUUUGUAAGGAAUCUAUAAUUUAGAAAAACAUUACAGUUGUAGUUCUUUCAUUCUAGUUUCCAGAAAGCUAAACCAUUAAUCAUUUGGAUUUUUGUACAGAAAGUUAUGAUCGAUUGAAUAAAGGCUGGUAAAGCUGUUUUGAAUUUUUUCCCAGAAAUUUCUGAUGCGAGGAGGCUACUUUGGAAACUUAUAUCUCGAAAUCCAUAAGGAAUCUGAAAAUUUGCAAAACAUGAAAGUUGUAGACAUUGCAUUCUAGUUUCCAGAAAGUUAAACCAUUCAUCAUUUCGACAUUUGUAAAGAACGUUAUGACAGAUUUAGUGAAGACUAGUACUGUCUUUUGUUUUGGCUGGAAAUAAUGAGCAAGUCGCAUUUCAUAGAUGCGACUUUCCUGGAAAGAAGUUUGUAUUCGGGAGUUAGCCAUUUUUAUUCAUUCUUGACGAUUUUAGUGCUCGGAUAAAGUAAUUUUCAAUAGAUUUUUCAAGAGGACUUCUUUGAGGUAAGAUUAUUGAACCUAAAACUCGAUCCUAUGUUGAUUCUUCCUUGUUUAAACAUGAUAUUAGUGAGAUUUAAAGCCAAAAAUUGGGGAAUUAGGGCUUGGAAUUGGAGAGUGUAAAUUGGGGAUUUGAUGAGCCAUUUGAGGUCCGAUUUUGAUGUUCUUGAUAUGUAUGGACUCGUGAGAGGAUAAGGAUUCUAGUGAUGUGAUUUUUAUCAGAUUUCGAGACGUGAGAUCGGGGGUCGGGUUUGGCCAAUUUCGGGAUUCUUGGUGUAAAUUGAUUAUUUUCGAAUGGGCUUUGUUCCCUUGGCAUAUUUUGAUUGUAUGAAUCUAUUUUUGGUUAGAUUCGGAGCAUCCGGAGGCCGAGUCGAGAGGCAAAGGCAUCGCGGGAUAGAGUUUGGACCAGAUUGAGAUAAGUAAUGAUUGUAAAUGUUGUCCUAAGGGUAUGAAACCCCGGAUUUCACAUCAUUGUGCUACUUUGAGGUGGCGCACACGCUAGAUGAUACUUGGUGGGGUCGUGCACCGUUGGGGAUUAUAAAUUAGUUCGCCCCGUAUGACUAUUCAACUGCGUAUUUGACUGAAACCUGUUUGCUAUAAUUGUGUUUGGAAAGUAUUAUCAUGUUUUGGGUUGAAUGCCAUAUUUGAGCCUCAUGCCAAUUGUUUUGGACCCUGAGGGGAUUUUCACUAUUAUUCCUUACUAUUUUGACAUCAUAUUUGUACUCAGUCAUCUUGUAUUCUACUGUUUUCAUAACUCAGCCACAUUUACUCUGUUUUAACAUUUUAAAUGAUAUUUUGGAAUGAGCAUCAUGUUUUACUAUGCCCGAGUGGCUUUGAGUGAUUUCUGACUGAGUGAGGUUGAUGGCCUGUGUUGUGAGGGUAUUAUGGGAUCGGGCUGCGCACCGCAGUAGUGUGGUACUGAUUCAUGUUAUAAGGCCGAGUGCCUGUUUGAUUAUGCCACGAGAUGGCUUGUUAUUGCACUUGGGCUUUAAGGAGCCCCUCCCGGAGUUUGUACACCCCCAGUGAGCGCGGGUACCCAGUGUGAGUGAUAUGUUGUAGCCUGAGGGGUUGUUGUUGUUUCAUAUUGUUUCCCGAGGGGCUGUUCUUGAUCGAUGUUUUGCCCGAGGGGCGAUUCUUGAUUUAUGUUAUGCUUGAAGGGCUAAUUAUGAGUGAUUGUGAGGUAACCUAAGAGGCUGGUUCUGUUGAUAUUAUGCCCGACGGGCAGUUUAUGGUACAUGUUUUGCCCGAGGAAUUGUUUACGUUUCUACCAUGUCUAUUCAUUGUUUUAUCACUUGUUGAAACUAUUUAAAAUUGUUUUAAAAGGUUUUACCGAAACUGAGCAUGAUUUACGAAGUAAAUAAUUUCUGUACUGUGUUGGAAAUGUCCUGCAUUUGUUGUAGUAUUGUGACAUGGUUUAUGUAUUUUCUUACUGCUCAGCUUUCAUUUAGCUUCAUUACUUACUGAGUUGGCGUACUCACAUUACUCCCUGCACUUUGUGUGUAGAUUCAGGCAUUUCUGAACCCGGUAGCGGGUGUUGAUUGCUCAGUGGCAUAGUCAUUGGAGUUACCAAGGUAGCUUCCCGGCGUUCGCAUCCCUACUUCUACCUCUUAUCUUCCUUAGCCUGUUAUAAUUUAUUUUCAGACUCUUCGUUGUAUUCGAACUUUAGUAGAUGCCCGUGACUUGUGACACCCCGAUUUUAGGCUUGUGUAUUUAUUCUACACUGUUCACUUAGACUUACAUUUUGAGAUAUGUGAUUAGUUAAAGGCUUAAAAUGACUUUUUUUAUUAAAGGAUUAAUUCGGGAGUUGUGUCGCCUGACCUAGUUUCACGAUAGGCGCCAUCAUGACAAGGUCGGUUUUAGGGUCAUGACAUGCGGGGUCCUGAGUGAAGAAGGGGUCGAUGAUGCCGACCCAGUGGAUGCAGGUUCAAUCUUCGAGGAGGCUCAACGUCUUUGUUUAAUUGUAUGUUUUUAGCCACCCUGAUAUUUCUCCAAUGCCAUACUUUUCUACUUUUGUCUAAUUAAUCAUUCCUUUCUUUUGUGUAGGCCUUUGACAAAUUGAAGACCAAAUUGUGCCAUUGUGAAGUCGAAUUGUGUAGGGCUUCGAAUGAGGAUAAAACACUUAGGAUUCUCCUUGACAAAAAGGAGGAAGAACUGAAACAUCUCCGGUCGGAGCUGACCAAAACUCGUGAAUACGAGAGUGAGUUAGAAAAGCAAGUAACCUCUGUUCUGAAAAAAUACAGGCUACCUCUCCCAUCACUAAUACUUCAAUGUCUCAGCUACAGUAAAAGCUAGAUAUGAUCGGACAACUCCGGGGCGAGGUCGAUCAAAUUCGAGCCGAAUGGAAUGAAUAGAAAAAAAAAGAUAGACGCCCUCGUUGUGGCUAAAAAUGAUGCGUUGGUGAGGGUAUCAGCCCUCGAGGUUCAACUUCGAAACGCUCAAGGGAGCAACUUGGUUCAAGCUAGCAGAAUAGCUGAGCUCGAGGCUGGUCUUGCGAAGGUCAAGGCUGAAGUGGUGGAAGUCAAGGCCAAAGUGGUGGAAGUCAAGGCCGAAGCCAGCGUAAUACAGGCCAAGGCCGACAGGACGGUGGCCAUCUAUUCGAAAGAUGCUACCGAUGCUCAGAUGGAGUUGAGGGAGGCUUCAAAUUGAGAAAAAAAAAAGCAAUGACUAUGUCCGACAUUGAUCUCGAAGGGAGACCAUUGAGGAGAUUCAUGCUAAGGGCUUUGAUCUUUCCGAGGAGAUAAAGCAAGCUAAGGUAGAUGAGGUUGAUUCCAUAGUCAUUUCCUCUGAUGACGAUGAUGACGCCGAAGAUGAUGACAGGGAGGGGGCUACCGAAGAAGUUACCCCCGGAGAAGAGGCUGGUCUCGGGGAAAUGACAGGUCGGGGGGGGGGGGGAAUGUCCCUCUGGAGUAGGAAGAAUUUUUUCUAUCUUUUUGUAAUUUUUUGCUUUGUAGGACCCCCGUGUAAUAUCUUUUUGUAUAUAUAAAAAGAAGAUUCCUUGAUCGUUUGCCCUUAAUUUUUCUUCAGCAUUUGUUAAAAUUUUUAUGCUCUAACCUCUGAGUGUUGAAUCAAAUUCGGGGUAGAGUAGACCCUCAAAUCUUUGUAUUUUGAUCAACAAUUGAUAAUAGGCUACCACUUAAGGUUUGAUCUUCAAGCUAAGUUUUAGCUCGAGACUUUUGAGUCCGAUCUGGGUAAAGUCUUCGAGCAUAGUAUGUUUCGGCCUUAAAGAUCUUUAAAUAUUGGCCCUUAAGGUCUUUUAGGUUGGACCUUAGGCACUUUUAGGUCGGUCCUUAGGCUCUUUAGGUGGGGCCAAUUCGGCCUCUAAAAUGGCUAUAAAUGUUUUCCCUCAUUUCGGCUAAAAGACUUAGUGACAUUUUAUUUAUGCCUUAGCAUGUGUUUUUGUACCCGUUGGGUUUUCCGAAGGCUCGACAUAUCGGAACCUUAUUAAUCAUUUCGUUUGUGUAGGCAUGAUCGAAUACCUCUUAAGGUCUUUUCGAAGGCUGGUGUUAUCGAAGCGUUUGGAUUAUUCGAGGGCUGAAUUUAUUGAAGCCCUUAGAUUUUUUGGGGGCCGAAUUUAUCGAAGCCCCUUAUAUUUUGCUUUUGCCGAGGGUAGCCUGACUUAACCAAUUUUUUAAUAUUUGAAGUCCUUUAAUUUUAUUGUGAAAGUCAGACGUCUACGAAUCACAUUAUUUUGGUCGUAGCCUUUAUGUGACCGUAGUCUUUAGUAUGGCCGAAGUCUUCGGGUUUGUCACUUGGACUUGUUUCCCCAAAAACUUUCCAAACUUGUUCGAAGAGUUAGUCUCCGAGUAUAUUGGCCUCGAAGGGGGUGCCUCUUUGAGGUUUUAUGAGUCCGAAUUUUCGAUGACUCAGAUGUAUUGGCUGUCAGUGAUAGUCCCCAGAUACAUCGGGGUGCUUUGGCCCUUGAGCCACUUCCCGUAGGAUUGCAAGUGUAGAGCUCGUAUUAUAGCAAACUUCUUUGAGAUACAAAGUAUUUUCGAUAUAACCAGAAUGCUUCUUUAAAUAGUUGAUACAUGCGUACAUGUUUUGUCGUGGGGCUCGACUAUUCUAUAUAAACAAGGUUCAUUUGACCAUUUGGCCCAUUACAAAGUUCUCCUAUCGAGGCCCUCUUAGGCGUGAGGUAUCUUUCUCAAAAGUAUAUCCUCCGGGGGUGAUGCCCCUAGUAUUCGAGGUUGAUUGAAAAGAAGCCUUGAAUAUUUGUUGAAUGUUCCUUAGGUAGCAUAUGGUGUUGCCUCAUUAAAAACCUUGCCAGUAAAACCCAUUUGGGAUAAAACUCGAUCUAAGGGAAAAAGAGUGCAACGCAUGCUUUCAAACCCAAGGUCUUCGAGCUGAAAGGUGCCUCGAUAUCUCCAACUAAACAUCUGCAAGGAGUUAGUUUUAAAUACAAAAGGAAAAGGGGAGAAGGUCAUACCUCAGUAGUAAUAUCGCUUGAGCAACGAUACAUUCGAAUUGUUUGGUAGUUGCUCGCCUUCCAUUGUGCUAAGUUUGUAGGAUCCUUUCCCUACGACUCCGAGGACACGGUACGGUCCUUCCCAAUUAGGACAUAGUUUCCCUUCGUUUGGGUCUCGAGUGUUAAAAGUGACUUUUUUCAGGACUAAGUCUCCGACUUUGAAAUAUUGAAGGUUCGUCCUUCUAUUGUAAUACCUUUCGAUCCUUUGUUUUUGCACGACCAUUCAAAUUAUCGCGACCUCUCGUUUUUCAUCGAGUAGUUCGAGAGAAGUGUUCAUAGCUUCGUGAUUUGAACUCUCGGUGGCAUGCUGAAACCUGACGCUAGGUUCCCCGACUUCGAUUGGGAUCAAUGCUUUGGAUCCGUAUACCAAAGAAAAUGGGGUCUCCCCCAUGCUCGAAUUCGACGUUGUUCAAUAUGCCUGUAGCACUUCGGCAAACACUUCUCUCCAUUUCCCCUUUGCAUCAUCUACCCUUUUUUUAAGUUUUGAAUGAUGGUUUUGUUAGAGGACUCGGCCUGACCAUUUGCACUUGGGUGGUAAGGUGCUGAUAGGAUCCUUUUGAUUUUACGGUCCUCAAGAAAUUUUGUUACUUUACUGCCGAUGAAUUGUUUCCCAUUGUCACAUGCUAUUUCGUAGGUAUCCCGAACCGACAUAUAAUGUGGUCUCAUAUGAAGCCGAUGACUACUUUUUCUCUUACCUUCUCGAAGGCCUGCGCUUCAACCUACUUCGAGAAGUAGUCAGUCAUAAACAAAAUAAAUCUAGCUUUACUUGGCGCCAUUGGUAGGGGGACGACAAUGUCCAUCCCCCUUUUCAUGAAUGGCCAUUGGUAUAGGACCGAAUAGAACUUCAUUGGGUUGAUGGAGCAUCGGUGCAAAUCUUUGGCAUUUAUCACACUUUCGAACAAACUUCUUGGUAUCCUUUUCCAUGCUAUCCCAAUAAUACCCUACUCUUAUCACCUUGCGAACCAGAGAGUCUGCACCAUAAUAGUUCCACAAGUACCCUCGUGGAUUUCGCAUAAUACAUAAUCGGUGUCCCCGGGUCCCAAGUACACUGCUAGUGGUCAGUCGAAGGUUCUUUCGUACAACGUUCCAUUUUCAUCGAGUGAGAAUCGAGCUGCUUUGGCUUGAAGUGUUCUUGACUCUUUUGGGUCCUCGGGGAGCUUCCCAUGCCUCAAGUAGUUGAUGUACUUAUUCCUCCAAUCACAUGUUAAAUUUAAUGUUUCCUCGGUACUGGAUGACUUAUAGUCUAUGAUGUAUAUAUAUUUCGGGAUGGAUCUUCCCUGGGCCGAAUGGGCCAUAUACAGUACCGAGUGGUUGAGCACUGUGAGUGGACGUAUUAUAAAUAAUAUUGAUCAUGGUAUCUGUGCAUUGGUACUUAGAGGUUCCUGAGCUUCAUACUCUGUAUCAUUCAUAUUGUGUUUAAUUACUGCUGAGAAACUGAAUGAACUGUAAGCAUGUCUACUUUUUCGUACAAUUAACUGUUGCAACCUGUUGAGGUUUGGUCCGUCACUACCGUCAGUCCAUAGUUUGGACUUGUUACUUACGGAGUUGGUGUACUCACGUUACCCCCUGCACCUCUGUGUGCAGAUCCAGGUAUCUCGGGGCACGACAGCGGCUGUUGAUCACACCAGUUGGAGACUUUCUGGGGAGAUUUCGGGUAGCUGCUUGGCGACCACAGUUUUGCCUUCUCCUUUCCCUAUCUUCCUUUAGUAUAUUUAUUUGGAUAUUCUCAGACCGUGUUGGUCAUGUUAUUUCGAACAGAUGUAGUAGUUUUAGCUCAUGACUUAGUGACACCCGAGGUCGGGAUUGUGUUUCUUUCCACUGGAUUUUGAUUUCUACUUUUAUCUUAUUGAAUUUCUGUUAAAAUUAUGAUUUUCUUAAGUUGUUUUAUGUGAAAAAUGGAGUAUUUGGAAAUAAGUGUCUUGCCUAGUAUCAUGAUAGGCACCAUCACGACAUAGUUAGAUUUUGGGUAGUGACAGGCGCCUAUCGUGAAACUAGGCCGGCCAACUUACUUCCAAAUACUCUAGAUUUCAUUUAAUACUUAACUAAAAUCAUGUUUUUGACAGAAAUUCGAUAAAAGAUAUAAAGUAAAAUCAAAACAAUACGGAAAAUACCNNNNNNNNNNNNNNNNNNNNNNNNNNNNNNNNNNNNNNNNNNNNNNNNNNNNNNNNNNNNNNNNNNNNNNNNNNNNNNNNNNNNNNNNNNNNNNNNNNNNNNNNNNNNNNNNNNNNNNNNNNNNNNNNNNNNNNNNNNNNNNNNNNNNNNNNNNNNNNNNNNNNNNNNNNNNNNNNNNNNNNNNNNNNNNNNNNNNNNNNNNNNNNNNNNNNNNNNNNNNNNNNNNNNNNNNNNNNNNNNNNNNNNNNNNNNNNNNNNNNNNNNNNNNNNNNNNNNNNNNNNNNNNNNNNNNNNNNNNNNNNNNNNNNNNNNNNNNNNNNNNNNNNNNNNNNNNNNNNNNNNNNNNNNNNNNNNNNNNNNNNNNNNNNNNNNNNNNNNNNNNNNNNNNNNNNNNNNNNNNNNNNNNNNNNNNNNNNNNNNNNNNNNNNNNNNNNNNNNNNNNNNNNNNNNNNNNNNNNNNNNNNNNNNNNNNNNNNNNNNNNNNNNNNNNNNNNNNACUAUAUAGUCUGAGAAUAGCCAACAAAUACACUAAGAAGAAGAUAAGGAAGGAGAAGGCGGGACUGCGAUCGCCAAGCAACUACGUUGCUAUAUCUAAGGAAAAAUUCCACCACUGAAAUGAUCAGCAACUGCUACCGUGGCCCGAGAUACCUGGAUCUGCACACAAGGCGCAGGGGGUAACGUGAGCACACCAACUCAGUAAGUAACAAGUCCAAGCUAUGGACUGACAGGUAGUGACAAACCAAACCUCAACAGGAAAUAUCAUUAAACUGUACAGAAAAGUAGACAUGCUUGCAGUUCAAGUAAAAACUCAACAGUAAAUAAAUGCAGCCUAAACGGUACGGAGUAUAAGGCUCAGGAAAUCUCUAUGUACUAAUGCACAGAUAGCAUGAUCAAUGUUUCAUGUACCUCCACUCACAAGUGCUCAACCACUCGGUACUGUAUAUGGCCGUCUGUCCAGGGAAGAUCCAUCUCGGAAUAUAUAUAUCACUGAUCGCAGUCAUCUAGUAUCGAGGAAGGCUAUUCUAGCCUUGUGGAGAAGAUCCAUCUCCAGGUUUAAAUACUUCGGACAAGAUCCAUGUCUAGGGAAGAUCCAUCCCUCAAUAUGAUCAACUGCGCUCACUGGGGUGUGUUACAGACUCCGGAGGGGCUCCUACAACCCAAGCGCUAUCAUAAUCAUCAACAUAACCACUGCGGCGUGCAGCCCGAUCCCAUAUACUAUCACUCACAACCAGGCUCUCGACCUCACUCAGUCAUCACUCUCCAGUCUCACACACACGGGUUCACAAUGUCAUGAUACUAGCCCGAACAAUGAUAUGAUGUGCCAAAUAACAAUAAUCAAUACUGAGACAUGAUAUAUAAUGCAUGAACAUGACAAAGUAUAGAAUAUCAAUGAAGAUAAUGAUAUGACAACACGAAACGACCUCUCGUGUCUCAACAGUAUCGGUGUGAAGCCCUAACAGGAUAUCUAGCAUGGUUUCACAACACAUUUACUUAGUCACACGAUAGAAACACGGAUAUCAACAAGAAAGAGUUACUAAGUGGUGCCACGGAAUGAUCCAGGCCGCAAUUCUCACGGUGCACGCCCACACGCCCGUCACUUGGCAUUUGCGUCACUUCAAUAGCAAUCAUAGAAUACAUAGUUCGGGGUUUCGAAUCCUCAGAACCAAGUUUGGAAGCGUUACUUACCUCAAGCCAAGCCAAACUCUAACCCGCGACGCCCUUGCCUCUCGAUUUGGCCUCCAAAUGCUUCGAAUCUAACCAAAAUCAGUAUAUCAUCAUCAAUAUACGCUAAAGGAAUGAAACCCAUACGAAAAUUAUCAAUUUAACUCAAAAUCCCGAAAUUGGCCUAACCCUACCCCCGGGCCCACGUCUCGGAAUACAAUAAAAAUCACAAAACUGGAAAACCCAUUAGCUCACAAGCCUACUUAUAUCAAAUUCAUCAAAAUACGACGUCAAAAGGUCAUCCAAAUCCCAAAAAUCCAUUCUCCAAUUUUUCUUCCAUUUUCCCCAAUUUUACCCCAAAUUCUCAAAUUAAAUGAUAAGAUUCAAGGCAUAAUUAUGGAAUUUAGCCCAAAACAAGUGAAGAACACUUACCUCAAUCACUUCUCUGAAAAUCCUAUCUAAAUUCACCUUUCUCCCGGGCUCUCUAAUGAGUUUUUGAAAAUAUGAACUAAACCCUCAUUUCUGAACUUAAAGAUUCUGCCCAAACGCUUCCAUCUUCGCGAACGCGAUCAAAGCCUCGCGUUCGUGAAGCACAAAAAUCACUGCCCAAUUAUUCCUCUUUCGCGAACGCGACUUCCUUCAAGAGAACGCAAAGCUUCAGCUGCCCAAGCCUUCGCAAAUGCGACCCUACCUACGCGAACGCAAUGCACAAACUCUUGGGGUCCCAGCUGCUCCAAUUUACCCUACACGAAUGCGACUCCUCUCACGCGUUCGUCAUUCACUGGAAUCCAAACCUAUGUGAAUGCGUCCUUUGACUCGCGAACGCGAAGAGAAUUUUAUCCCCUAGACCCAGCUCUUCUUCGCGAACGCGGGACAAUCUUCGCGAAUGCGAAGAACAAAUUCUUAUGCAACAAAAACCAGCAAAAUCUGCAACUCUCCAAAACCAACAAUUGGUCCGUUAACCACCCGAAACUCACAUGAGGCCCUUGGGACCUCAACCAAGGAUGUCAACACAUCCCAUAACAUCAUUCAAACUUGUUCCAACCUUCGAAACACUCAAAACAAUGUCAAAACAUCAUAUCACCCUCGGAUUCAAGCUUAAGAAUUCCAAAUCUUUCGAAUCCCGCAACCGAUAAAAGUCUACCAACCUCAUCCGAAUGACCUAAAAUUUUGCACACACGUCCCAAAUGACACAACAGACCUACUCCAAUUUUUGGAAUUCCAUUCUGAACCCUAUAUCAAAAUUUCCACUGCCGACCGAAAAAAUGCCAAAUUUUCAAUUUCGCUAAUUCAAGCCUAAAUCUUCCACAGACCUCCAAAACACAUUCCGAUCACGCUCCUAAGUCCCAAAUCACCUAACGAAGCUAUAUGAACCAUCAGAAUUCACAUCCGAGACCUUCUACCCAUAAGUCAACAUCCGGUUGGCUUUUCCAACUUAAGCUUACUCAAAAGAGACUAAGUGUCUCAUUCCUCUACAAAACCACUCCGAACUCGAACCAACUAACCCGAUACCACAUAAUACAGCUAAACAAGACAUAAAGAAGCAGAAAUGGGGGAAACAGAGUGGUAGCUCAUGAAAUGACCGGUUAGGUCGUUACAGAAUCAAACUCGCGUAGUUCGUCCAGCUUUGACGGACCAGAGGAAAAUAUGAAUUUUUGAAAACAUCGGCUUAUUUUCUUUCUCUUUUUUUUUUUCAAAAUUUUGGCGGAGUUUCGGAAAUUUUCAAAUAUCUACCUCUCACUCUUGGUUUUUUGAUUUCCCUUUUUUUCUUUUUCUUUUUAUUUGAUUUCUUUCCCUAUUCUAGAAGCCAGUCAACAUACAAGGCCAAAAAAAAAAUACGCUAGUAGCACGUAAUAUGCAUCAGGAUGGUCUUUUCAAUUUGGGUACACAUGUCCUAGACGGACCCAACCACUAUGUUGAGUACCCAAAGUCAAAUGCACGUGAUGCAAACAAGCGUUCCUACUAGGGAUCUGGUAUGAGGCCAUGUUACUCUAGGUUUAAAACCUAGGUGUAUUGUUCUAGACCUGGCUUAUACGAGCGAACAACUCGAGCCAGGGGGGCAGCGUACCGGUACCCAAACGAUCAUCCACCUUUGAAACUUGUCUAAUCCUCUUCUAAGUUAGGGAUAUGAUUCUAACAGAAAAAAAAGUCACGCCAGGGUGCAUUUCCCAGAAGAUUUAGAAGACUCAGAGAGAAGAAGGGUUUCAUAACAGUUUAUAUACAGUUCACACAAUAUCAAAGUGAAAAGCGACAUUUAGCACAUUAGGCUCAAACACAUAAAAAAUCAGAUAAUGAACAAAAUCCAACUAUAACAAUUAUUCUAAGCUUUAAUUUUGAACCAUGAAUCAGAUGUUCUGGGUAAUAUCCUAAAUAGAGUCGUCAGAGCUAUCACGCAACCUUUUUCCUGAGGGGAUAGGGAGUUUUUCCAAUUUAAAUGACACUAAUCAAAAUGGAAUUAUUUAUUUAUUCAGAAUCGCCACUUGGGAUGAUUAUAUGGUGUUCCAAGUCACCAGUUUAUUUUAAAUUCCAAAUCGAGGAAGUUUUAACUCUAAUUUACUGCCCCCGAAACACAGAAAUCCGGACAAGAAAUUCUGUUAACCCGAGCGAAGGUGUUAGGCAUUCCCAGGUUCCGUGGUUUUAGCACGGUCGCUCAACUAUUAAUAAUUGGCCUAAUUACCUGAUUCAUUACGUAUUUAAAUCCUAUUAUGCAUUUUAACAUUUUAACCGCUUUUAAUUAUUUAUGAGAUUUGUUUGAAAAAAUCGCGAUGUCGUGUACUCGUUUGCUUUGUACAUAUUGCGAAUCGUGUCAAGGAAACCGUAUCCACGAUCCACAACAUGUUUAAUUUUAUUAUUGUUCAAAGUUAUAAGACAGUCACAUAAAAUGCACACCCGAAUUAGGAUUACAUAUCGUGACCAUGCCACGGGAAUCGUACCCAUAAUCACGAUGAUUUUAUUGAUCGCGCCUAAAGCAAGCUACGAUGAUUCAUAAGAUUAUUUCCUGAACUAGUGUUGUUGUUAUUGGGCUUACAGUGGAUCAGUUGGCCCAUAAAUAUCAGAAACUAAGUUUUAAUUGUUCAAUUAAGAGAAACAUCCAGAUAAGAACAAACUAAAUAGAAGGAAGCAAAAUGCCAAAAUCAACAAGAAAUAAAAUCUCACCAAUAUCAUAUGAAUCAAGUUCAACACAUACACCAUUUUUACUGUCUUUAAUGGUUUAAAGCUCAAAUUCCUAAAUUAUUUUUUACCAUGUUAAACCACGAUACAUAAAUAUUAUUAGAAGCAGCAAUUAGAAAAGCUAAUAAUGAAACCAUAGGAAAAUUUCAUCCAAAUACAUAAUACUUCAAAGCCAUUCAUUAACUAGAAAUAAGGUAAGUUAAAACUGGACCUCUCACUGUAGCAAAUUUCUUUGAGAAUUGAAUAAUGGAUCACCCUGAAGCAAACAGCGGUACAACAAAUGCUCUGUUCCAAAUGAACGUGCAACAGUAAGCUCCGAUAAAAUUUGUCUCAAAAUUGAACCGUGACCGGAGCUAGAACAGAAAACUUGUCGCCGACGAGCUCGAGUACAGAGCUUCACGGGAUUAAUGGAGGAUUUUGGAGCAGUUUUCUCCGCGAAAUUGGCAGCAAUUUGAGCUGUUGUUUGUGAACAUUUUGGGACUAUUUUGUCAGUGUUUUGGGGAGCUGCUUUCAGUGUUUCUGGGUGAUGACAAUGGCUGUGUUUAUUGUACGUAUUUGGGAAAAUUUAGAGCUAUUUUGAGGUGUAAACAUGAGAAGGAGAAGAAAACUAGUUGUUCUCCAAAAGAACAAAGAAGAAGGCGUUGAUGCCCAACUUUCUUUUUAGAGCUCUAAGUUUCUUUUCAUUUUUUUGGCCCUGUUUCUUUUGCUGCUUUUGCAUCCCUUUUCUACUUUUCAGAUCGGUUUUUUGCCCCUUUUUUGUGUUCUGUGUGUUUUUCUUUUUCUUUUGUCAUAUGGGGUUGUAAUUUUUGAAGAAGAAGAAGAAGGAGUUCCUAUGGUGGGGUGCAGCUGACCUCUCCU
rnacentral:lncRNA from 1 species